rnacentral:lncRNA from 1 species
AUAUGUGAUGAUCUUGCCAAGAUUCAUCUCAACCAAAGUUGAUUUGAUUCAGCUAUAUAUUCCAAAACCCUAUCUACCCAGAUCCAAAUUUGAGCAUCCCUACAUUGCCAAGUGUCUCCAAUUGUGCUCCAAUUUUGUGGACAUGUUUUGGUGCUCUAAUAAUGCAUCCACACCAAGUGGUGCGUCAAGCAGAAUAGAUGAACUUGUCCAUAACCCCUCAAAACCUUCUUUGUUCAUUUCUAGAAUUGAGAAACUUUGCAUUGUGCAUACCGUGCCGUGAGGUCGUGUUAGGGCCGGUUUUUCUGGGAUUUUAAAUUCCCAACAAAAUGGCCCUUGUGCAUACCGGCCCAAGGAAUACUGUUAGAUGGUACAUAAAACCUUGAUACAAUGUCCAAGAAAAUUACAAGUUUGAAUUACAAGACCAAGAUGGCCUAUGGAGUACAUAAAAAUGUUUCUACUGGUUGAUGGAAGAAGCGGUCCCGGGAUCUCCAGCAUCUAUGCGACUCCAUUUCCCACCAGAACAGCUGAGUUGAAUAAUUCCUAUCUCACACGGCUGCUGUCUUCAGUGCCUAGAUUCGGGGGCAAUCGUGAGGAUGCUCUUCUCCAAAUGUGCAAUCUGGCCUAAACAAUAGCCAGGGACAAGCCAGUGAGUACUUUGAAUGUACUCGCAAACACCAUGAAAUCAGACAUAAAGUAGCUGGUUGUUAAUAUGCACUUGAAAUGAUUCAAUUAUAUUCCGUUAGUCAUAAUCCAACUUCUUAAGUGCAAGCAAACAUGUAUUUUAACCACACUGGUAAUUUAAUAAGAAAUCAAAGAAGAAAGAUUAAUUAGAACAUCGGGCGGCAAUCCUCUCGAAUUUUUCCAAGAAAAAGGAAAGAGUCCGAUCGGGUGUCUAGAGCGACGCCUCAAAAGGAUAAGAUAUAAAGCAUGCCUCAGUCGGGCAUCUUAGCGACACCACAUAAAGGGAUUAUAUGAAAUAUUAACAAGCAUGCCAUAGUCGGGCGUCUCCGCGACACCGCAUAAAGGGACUAUAUGAAAUAAUAACAAUGAAUAUCCAGGAGGUAGAACCGUCCAAGGGAUAUUUAACAUUCAUGUAUCAUAAAGGUUAGUCCAUAGUAAAGUAAUAAUUAUGAUCAUCCACCAUAUUUCACGGUUUCCUCAUCGUUAAGUUUACUUCCUCCAAAGAACGAUACCGAGACUGACACUUGACCUGUCAACCAGUCGUCCUUGAUCGAGGAUAGGACUACUCGAAUAGUUUUGACUCUAUAGAGGGUGUACUCUUUACCCACCACCUACAGGUUUCAAUAGUCACUCGGACUAAUCCGGUGUACGGUAUCUCAGAAGUUAACACUCAAAAGGAUCAAACACCCAUUUUCCCCCGUGAAGACCGAACUCACUAGGGCUACCCUGCCAGGGAAAAACCAUAAGACGGGGAGGCUGCAACCUCGACUAGCACAUGAUCGAAUUUAUACCGCACACUAGAAGGGGAGAGCUCUUCCCCUCUUGGUCCCAGACCGGAAACACCCAUGCCCCCUGACCCGAUGACUGGUUUUAUUCUAGUGCCCCGGAGAUCUUCAUACCGGCCCCUCUACUUGGUGUGUACCUGAUAAUAGGUCUACGACUUACUGAACCGCAUUCCCUUUCAGGAAGACAUGUGGCAGCACGAGAGGGUAAGGUGACACACUGACAAGACUCGAUAUCCGGUCGACUUAGGAGGUUUAAGUUAUUCCCUGCAUGAUUAGCACAACAAAAACUUUUCAUGAUUAGAAUCCCCAACUUUCAUACACCAAGAUGGCUUAGUCACCAUCCUUGUCCUACAAGAUGUCAGUCCCCAAGGCCGUGUCUUUCCCAGAUAGCGACUCUCCUCGGAUCCCAUCCGAUAGGCAUUCGUGGGAGAAAGGAGUGACUACUAUCACAUGCAUCUCAAUAUGCAACAAAAAUAAUUCCUCACCAUGUACUCAUGUGCAUGAUCAUAUCACCACAUAAAAUAUCAUCACUUGUUCCAAACAUAAUGAUAACAUUCCUCCAUCACAACAAUUCACACACAACCAUAAUAUAUCCAAGUACAGGAUGCUUGCCUUCCAAGUGUAGACAGGUAGGAUGGAUUCCAAAUAUUUUGGAAGUUUUUACUCCUCUGUCAAUAUCUUAUUUUAGAAAAUAUUCUAAUUAACACAUAAUUUAAAAACAGUACAAAAAGCUGUCUUAGGAAAUUUACAAAGAAAUACUAAAAUAAACUAUAUAAAAUUGGAAAGAGGUGAGAAAAAAUCAACUCAUUCAGAGUUUUUAUUUUAGAAAUUAGAGCUAGUCAAAGAUUGGUCAAAGCUCUAUUUUAAAAUAAUCUAGAAAAGGGAAAACACUUCGGAGGGAAAUACAUAAGUGCGAGGAGGAAACGUACUUCACAGAAGGCGUGUCCAUUUUAUCCAACACACGCGUGGCUCGCGAGUCACUAACAGACUGUCAAUUGGGCCCACUGAUCAGGUUUGACCAGUCGCGUGCGCCUUCUUCCUCCUCUGGCCGGGCGGUGGCGGGGUUCCAGCGGUCGUCGCCAGCGAUUGGCGACUUCUGGGUUUCUUCCGAUGGCGGGAAUGGGAUCCCCGCAAGCUACUGGUCCUCUUGGAGGUCGAAAGGGCCGCGAAGACGGAGAGGGUCGCCGGUGGCGAGCGCCGAGGCGAACGGCUAUUGCGGGAGUAAUGCGGAUUCGACCUACAGUGGAUCCCAAUCAUGUAUGAGUGAUGGGAUGGCUUGAUGGGGUGAGGGUGGUUCAACUAAAGGGGAGAAGGGCGCAAGAUUAAUCCUGCUGGCCUCGAAUUUCACUAGGGAGGCAGCGGCCGAACUCUGACCGGAGAUGAGGAAGAUGGCCUCCCCCGGUUGAUUGGUUGCUAGGGUAGCUUGAGAGCGGUAGGAUUUAUGAUUCGGAGGGUCUGGGCGAGCUUGGGGUCCUAUUUAUAGCGCGGGCGACAUCGCUUCCUGGCGGCAGUGGAUAAGAACUACGACUACUGCACGGGCGACGUGGCGGUCGACUGGCGGGGACCAGGCGCUAGCAGUCGAGCUUGUGGAUGAGCUCGAGCUAAUCUAGGGGGAAUCUCACGCGUGUCUCUGGCUUGGGCGAUGCUGCCAUCGCCACGGCAUGCUCUGCUAGCAUCGGUGGUCAGCACGGCUGAAGUGGCUCGGGCGCGCAGCAAGGAGGGAGUCAGUGGUGCUAGUGAGGGGAGGCUGUAGGCUUCCGACGUAGGGGGGGGGGGGGGGUCACUGGAGCACUGCAGUUCGGCGCGAUGACUCCCUAUACAUCACGUGCAAAACGCACGCUCCGGGCAUGCUCUGGGCAGGCACGACAGGUGUUCGACCAAAUGCCGAUGCAUGCCAGAGGCGUCCACUACCUAUGAAACUUCACAGGACUAGGUUGGAGAGCUAAAGGGGCUCGAGGGACAUGGUGGUUUGCAUGCUGGAACAAUCCCAUAGAGCAAACUAAAACCAUGUCAAAUCUAGCCAGACACACAAGGUGCUCGACAAAAUGCCAUGGGCAUCUAUAUGGAUUUGGUGGUCACCAAAAUUCCCAGGUUGAGGUCUCUUUGGAAGCUAAGAAUGAUGGCAUGGUUAGUUUUCUAAAAGCAGGAACUUGCUAGUGCAUUAAUUUGAGAAAAGCAUUUUGGGUAGAAACUUCAGGAGGUUAAAACAGGGGCUUAAACUAUGCCACUCGAGUUGACCUCUUGGACUUAAGGUUUUGGUAGGGCCUACUAUCAGCAGUAAAAUCUCAAGAGAGUUGGGGCAAGAUAAAACAUGGUUGUAGUACAAACUGCAAAACUGGUCCAAAACAGAAAAGGGGUUGAGGUGCUCAAAAUUUUAUAAAUACCAACGUGGUUUUUUGCAUCAAAGUAAUGUACACACCUCCCUUGAAAUUUCCCAAUUUUUGUAUAAUUUUUGAAAUAGUAGAUCCAGUGGUUGUAGUUCAAAACACCAACUGGACCAGAAUAGAAAAGGGAUUGUUUUGCUAAAAUUUUCCAAAACACAUAAUUGGGUUUUUGCAUGGAUGUGAUCCAAGGAUAUCACAUGUCACCUACAAAUUUUUAUAGAACUUUUAAAUGAAGUUAUCAAAUGGUUGCAAUGCAAAUGAGGUCAUUAAAGGAUUCAAAAACUAUUUUUGAAUAAAUGAAACCUAGAAAACUAUUUAUAAAAAAAUCUCCACUGGAACUCUCAAAUGCAAGGGAAAUGUUUUGAGGAAAGCACUCAAGUCUCACCAUAUUUUCCAAAAACUCCAACUUGGGGAAAGAAAUUUUAUAAUCCAGAGAAAAGAAGUGGGUCUGAACUCAAGAGAAAACCCAGAAAUAAAAAUUUGAAUAUACAUGGUCAAAUUUAUAUAAAUAAAAUGAUGGCUAAAUUUUUGGGGUGUUACAAACUGUACCCCCUUAAGAAAAAUCUUGUCCUCGAGAUUUGCUAAGGACGUAGCAAAAAUAUUUACCCCUACCACACUACAAUAUCAACACGAAAAUAAAUACUCUAUAUAAACAAUAUGAUGAGGUUAUAGUGAGAAAACGAUAAUUGGUGCAACCCAAGUGUGGUACUGGUGCUACAGAUAAUAUCUAUGGUUGGGCAAUCGAGACGUUUCUACUUAAGGCUACGACAAAUUCGGAAAAAGAAAGAUUUCAAAUUCUGAAUGGUGCUUGUCGUACCCAAGUGCAUAGUGUUCUGUCUCGCUGACAGGUGGACCCAAGGCCCAAUGUCAGUCUCUUCUUCUUCCUCCGGCUCCCUUCUUCCUUCUCUUCAUGUGCUUUUCAUGCUUUCUCCAUUCGUGGAUUCUAGGGCCGUACUACGGUAGUGCGCGACGUGCUACUGCGGGCGCAACAUGCACUCAUCUCGCGGGCUAGUGCGUGUUAGCACUGGUCAUGGAUUAGCCUCCGAACACCGGCGAUCGAGCAACGAGGAGCGCUGGUGGACUUCGCCCACUGUACACCAAACUCGAGCUAUAAAAAUGACUGCGUCAUUCCUCUCUUCUACCUCACACCUAGCCUCACACCUAGCCUCACUCCUCCUUCUUCGUCCUUCUUCAGUUCUGCUUGCAGGAGCUGGAGGCGAGGCUUUAAUGGUGGACGAGCCUCUGGGGUGGCUGACGAUCCUACUGGCUAGAGGGAUGGCGACAUUGAUCGGGCUCUCAAUGCUCCUAUGCGUGCUGAUCCAAGAUGAUCAUUACGACACUGCUGCUUGAGUAGGGGCUCUCCGCGGCGGCAGUGACCAUGAUGACUCGAUGUCUACAAUGUGCAUGAGUGGGGGCUAGUGUGCUAGCAGCAACGCUGCAAAAAUAAAACCUCCACAGAGGUUUUCCUCUCGGGGGAAGAUUGUGGUGCUCGCGAGGCGAUUAGCUAGGUGUUAAGCGUGUGCGUUGUUCUUCUCUUAGUGCAUUUGCAGAGUGACUGUGGUUGUGAGCCGGUUGUCAUGCAAAUAAAAUUCAUGUUGGAAAAGUUUUGCUGCACUGGUUUUAUUUAGAAAACUAUCACAUGAAGGAAUGUUAUAAGAAAAAAAAUACAAAGAAAAAUCACAGCAAUCACACAAUUGAAAUCAUAACAUAUGCAUAUGAAAAAUUACAAGCAAGGCACAAUUAUUACAUCACACAAUCAAACGCUAGGCUAGCAGAUACAAACACGGCGUUCACAGAACACGCAAAAUCUAACGGCCAUGAGAAAAUAUUUCCGUCAUUGGAAUAUCUCCUUCGUCCUCAGGGCGUGCGGUUGGAGGACUCGCAGAAUGCGCCUUGCUGGGUCUAACCUCAGAGGUUCGCCAAUGGCGAUCUGAGGAUUUUGGACAACGAGGCCUAGGAGAAAAUCCAUCACUUGCUGGGUCAAACGCUCUUGAGCGAUGACAUACUGCACUAGCCUGAUCAACACGGGGACUCUCUCUGCACGGGUGCCUUGGAAAUAUGCUGCUUCUCCGGGCGUUGCACGACUCGGAAAAUAACAAUACCCCCUUUCAUUGGCAUAUGGCACUGCAAAUCGUGAGGCGAGAAAUCGGUUCGUAGGUAGCAACCUCUAUGGCAAUUUUCAUGGUAGGCAUAGAUUUCCCGCUGAUACAAACUUUCGUGGGGUCUUGGUUACGGUCCACUCGGAAAAUGUGCACAACUUCCCAAUAUUUCGAAGUGGUGGAAGUGAUCCUCGAUUUGAACAACUCAUACUGUGGUUGGUGGGGAGAACCCAUGGUACUGCGAGUAAAAUCCCACAAUAUCUUAACAGAACUCUCGGGAGGUGCAUCCGGAUUUCUGAGGUAACUCCCUUCGGGUGGCAUGUCAAAAGGCUGGGAAGGCAGUGCACAAGGCGAGGAAUGCUGGAAAAAGUCACUGGGUGACUCUUAUAUAGGAGUGGGUUAGGGCACAUGCUCUGGGUUGGGUUGGUCUCGGCAGUUGGCUCCACUCUAACGUGGUUUGGUCAAGGCCACAGAUAAAAGUCCACAAAAUGUGACAUAUUACUCUGGUGGUCGGCUGGGACUGGCUUCCAGUGGUUACGUCCAACUAUAAGCUAUAUGGCCAAGUGCAUACACAUAUGGCCACCAAUGGUACUAUGAAAAUAAUUGCACACAAACAAUCUGCCCAUUUAUUUGUGAUAAUACUAGCUCUAAUAUUACAAGCAUAGUAGCACUACGGUAGGGUUAUGGUUAGUACACUUCGUUUACAUCCAGGUGGGCGGGUCUCGCAAACGUCGAGGCUAUUGGAACCGCGACGUCAUGGUUGCUCGGGGAAGAAGGCGGGGCUACAAGACUGGGGUAGCGGUGGUGUCCAUUGUGGGGUGUUGUGGCUACUGUCCUGUUGGAGGAAAUCCCCAAAAUGCGGCGAAGCUCCUGAGGGGAGAUAGGCACAUGAUUCGGUUCGGCAGCAGGGUUAGACCUGAGGAGCUGAAUCGGUCUCCCAAACAACACUACAGGGUUGCUAGCGUUGGGCUCCGCUUCCCUCCUCCUUGGGUCAAGACGAGCCAGCUCUCCACGAGCUGCAUUCAGGUCGAGGGUGACCUACUCGUAUAGUGCCUCUUGCGCUCUCAUGUAGCUCACAAGAUGCAAUAGGACGAGGUCGGUCUCAUGGUCUCCGUUGGGGACUUGGAGCAUCCUACCAUAACCUUCACGACUAGGGUAGUAGUAGAACGAGCGACAGUUAACUCUUGGCGACAAGUGCGAGAGUUGAACUAUUUCCUCUCGAGAUGCUAGAUGGAUGGCUUGUGGCUUGUAGGAAGUUGAUCUUUCGGUGAACCGAUAGGGGCGCUCUUGGGUGAUACUCCUGCCGUAGAUGUGUACCGUGGCCUAGAAUCGACGGAUGGCAUCACUCGUGUGCUCUUGGUACACAACAUACGCUGGAGGCUCUUCCAUAGCAAAGGCACGGCGGGUUAAGUUGGCAAGGAUGGCAACAAAACCUCCUUGUUUAAUACCAGUGGUCUCAUUGUGAACAAUAGGGCCUGGCAUCCCGGAAGGCUGUUGUGGCUGUGAUGUGCGGCGUUGGGGCAAUCGUUCCCUCUAUAGAAAAUGAAAAUGGAGUCUUCCCUCACACGCUUGCGAAAAGGACAACUUAGUCAUUGGUCACAGGCAUGUGACCACAGGUCUAGUCUGAUAGGUUGGGGACCAACUGCCGAAAGGUGUCGGUUAACACUAUUUAGGCUACUGGUUAGCACAGGCUUGGCUAUGGUUAUGGUACUAGCGGGCUUGAGUGGUUACAUAGGGUUUAUUGACCCGGCUAAGAUAGGAUUAGCCAAUGGCCAGCCUGGCUCUGAUACCAAGGUUGUAAGGGCCGGUUUUUCUCGGAUUUUAAAUUCCCAUCAAAAUGGCCCUUGUGCAUACCAGCCACAGGAAUAUUGUUAGCUAGUACACAAAACCUUGAUAAAUGUCCGAGAAAAUUACAGGUUUGAAGUACAAGAUAAAGAUGGCCUAUGGGGUAUAUCAAAAAGGUUUCUACUGGUAGAAGGCGGAAGCGGUUCGGGGUUCUCCAGUGUCUAUGGGAUUCCAUGUCCCACUGGAAUAGCUGACCUCGAUAAUUCCUAUCUCACAUGGCUGCUAUCUUCGGUGCCUAGGUUCUGGGGUUAUCGUCAGGAUGCUCUUCUCCCAAUGCGCAAUCUGGCCAACACAAUAGCGCGGGACAAGCCAGGGAGUACUUUGAAUGUACUCGCAAACAUCAUGAAAUCAUACAUAAAAUAGCUGGUGGUUAAUAUGCACUUGAAAUGAUUCAAUGAUAUUCCGUUAGUAAUAAUCCAACUUCUUAAGUGCAAGAAAACAUGUAUUUUAACCAUACCGACAAUUUAAUAAGCAAUCAAAGAAGAAAAAUUAAUUGGAACAUCGGGCGGUAAUCCUACCGAAUAUUUCCAAGAACAGAAAAAUAGUCCGAUCGGGUGUGUGGAGCAACGCCUUCGAGGGAUAAGAUAUAAAGCAUGCCUCAGUCGGGCUUCUUAGCAACACCAGAUAAAGGACUUAUAAUAAAUAACAACAUGCAAGCCAUAGUCGGUCGUGUGAGCGACACCACAUUAAGGGAUUAUAUGAAAUAAUAACAAGCAUGCCAUAGCCGGGCAUGUGAGCGACACCGCAUAAAGGGCUAAUGUGAAAUAAUAAAAAUGAAAAUCCAGGAGGUAGAACCGUCCGAGGGAUAUUUAACAUUCAUGUAUCAUAAAGGUUAGCCCAUGAAAAAAUAAUAAUUAUGAUCAUCCACAAUAUUUCACGGUUUCCUCAUGGUUAAGUUAACUUGUUCCAAAGACCGACACUCAGACCGACACUUGACCUGUCAUCCAGUCGUCCUUGACCGAGGAAACGACUACUUGAAUUGUUUUUAAUCUGUAGAGGGUGUACGCUUUACCCACAACCCACGGGUUUCAAUAGUCACUCGGACUAGUAUCUGAGAAGUAAACACUCGGAACGAGCAAACACCCAUUUCCCCCCGUGAAGAUCGGACUCACCGGAACUACGCUCCAGGGAAAAAUCAUAAGACGGGGAGGAGCCAACCUUCAUGCCCCGUGACCCGAUUACUGGUUUUAUUCGAUUGGCAUGGGAUUGAAUUGAUACCACACGCUACAAGGGGAGAGUUCUCCCCCUAUCGGUCCGAGAACGGAAACACCCAUGCCCCGUGACCCGAUUAAUGGUUUUAUUCGAGUGCCCCAGAGACCUUCAUCCCGGCCACUCUACAUGGUGUGUGCCUGAUAAUAGGUUUACGACUUACUGAACCACAUUCCCUUUCAGGAAGACAUGUGGAAGCACGAGACGGUAAGGUGACACACUGACAAGACUCGAUCUAUGGUCGACUUAGGAGGUUUAAGUUAUUCCCUACAUGAUAGACACAACAAAAAUGUUUCACGAUUACACACAGAAUCACUAACUUUCAUACACCAACAUGCCUCCGUGACCAUCCUUGUGCUACGAGAUGCCAGUCCCCAAGGUCGUCUCUUCCCGAGACACAGACUCUCCUCGGAUCCCAUCCGGUAGGCAUGCAUGGCAGGAAGGAGUGAGAACUAUCACAUGCAUCUCAAUAUGCAAGAAGUAAUAAUUCCUCACCAUGUAGUCAUGUGCAUGAUCAUAUCACCACAUGAUAUAUCAUCACUUGUUCUAACAUAAUGGUAAUAUUCGUCCAUCACAACAAUUCACACACAACCAUAAUAUAUCCAAGUUCAAGAUGCUUGGCUUCUAAGUUUAGAUAGGUAGGGUGCGCUCCAAAACUGUCGGCAUUCUCGGAACUGGGGUACCCAGACCUGCCUGCCUGCGGCCCAGGGCGAGCCCACCUCAUCGACACGCGGACGACUGGAAUGGCACCUCCCGGAACAAGGCCCUCGCGAGGGGCCAAGCCUCACGAGGAGGAGCAGCGCCAACACCCGCGGGGUCCUCCUUAGGACCACUCCUGAGCGGCGGACAUUCCGAGGCAGGGCCGGGCCUUAGGAGUCAAGGGUGACGACAGGAAAGGACAGGCAAGCAGCAAAUGGCAGGCCAGGGCAGUUUCCCCUUGAGUGAAAAGAAGGUGGGAGCGAAUCAGGACUCCAAAGGCAGCUCCUAAAGGUUUCCCUUCCGGUGCAACAAGACCAUGGUCGCCCGCCGGCAGGACGGACGUCAUCCAUGUGCUCACCUAUGUGGCGCUGGCAGCGGCUUUGCAGGCGAAGACCAAUUUUGGCAGGGGAAGCAUGUUCCCUUGUAUCCCACCAAAACUGGCCGUUGUGGGAUCCCUUCCCGCCUAUGAUAAGGGAAGAGGACCCUGGCUUCCACUAUAAAUAGAGAGGGUAGAACACUUGGCAGGGGGAUCAGAUCAAAAAAACCCUAGAAAAACACACCUAGCCAUUUGGCCUCCGGAGGCCCGAGAGCACUGUACUAGUUCAUCCAUCAACUACCGUGAGAGGCAAUCCACUAAAAGGAGUAGAGUUUUAUGCUUCGCAGCGGCCCGAACCUGGGUAAACUACUGUGCUUUGUGUUCCCCUCACCUUCGAGUGAGUUCUUCGAUGUUUCCAUCGAGUAGCGGGCCAGGUUAGGUCGAGCAGAGAGAGAUCACCGUACACGCCCCUAUGUUCGAAUCCUUAGGGUUUUGCGGAGCACGAAAUCCGACAUUUGGCGCGCCAGGUAGGGGGCGUGUCUAGGUCUCCCCCAAAGUUCGGCUCACCGAAACUAACCGCGUCCAUGGCGGGGAAACGACGAGUCUGCGCGGAGAGACCUGCUGCCCGCGUGUGGAGACGGUGUGGGCAGGCCACGAUGCCGAGCUGCCCCCAUCCACCCCGACGGCCAUGCUGGACAGACUUCAGGAGAUCGCCGGGGUUUGCCAUCUUCACCAACCGUCAGUAUCCCCGCGUCGCCCCGACUCUUCGGCACGUCCCGCUGGCCCCUCCCCUCAUCCGAGCUUGACAACACCCGAUGCACAGGCAUGUCACGCUGCUGGUGGCAUAUGAGCUCAAGCGCCAGGGCACCGCACGUCAUCACAGCGUCAGAGGUCACACAUGCCACCUUGGGCUCUCCGCUGCCGGCGAAGCCCGACAUCAUCCCCGCGCGAGCCGUGUCCGUCAGCCCGCACCGUUGGGACUUGCAAUAGAAGGACCGCGCGGGCGCACCUCAAACCUCCAUCAGGACUCGCCCCCACAGGGGAUCAAGCGGGGGCAGAUGGGGGUGCAAGCUCGGCUUCUCUUGGAUGGCGUCAUCCAGCAUUCCCCGACACGCUUCACUGAGCAGGGAGAGAAUUCCAGAGGCCCGACAACAUCAACCCUCGGGGGCUCAUGUGGGAUGACAACAACCAUACCGGCACACCUACACACCAUGGAGGAGACCACGUGGGACAUCACUACACUAGGAGGCACGAGCUCGACCCCACGGACUGCCCCCGCACGAACAUGUAUGAACAACGCUAUGGGCGUGAUCCAAGGGGUGGCUCCGCGAGGGUGCCCAACGCGGGUACGCUCGUGGGGCACACUUGCUAGCUAGGAGCUUCCUUAGGCAGGUGUGUGGGUUUGGGGAUCGAGGACCUCUCGCCUUGGACAGGGUGGACGCACCCUCAUGUCCAAGUCGAGGGGCCCGAGCAUGGGGACGGAUGGUGGAACAUACGCCCAUGUUCCUAGGCCAGACGAACCCAACCUGGGGUCCGGGGUGGUAUUCCCGCUCCCGCCCCCAGGGCGUGCGACGCUCACUUGGGAACAGAAGGUGGAACAUACGCCCAUGUCACCGGUGCAGGCUUCGUUCGGUUCCCAAAAGGUGUUCGAAUACCCAUCACUGCCCUAAGGCUGGGCCAGACCAGCCUGGGGGCGCGACCUAGGGUGUCAGCCAGGGAACCCAGGGGCCCCAGCGAGGCGCGCUGGGGCAUCUCCCCGGGGAUCCUGCACCCACCACCUGGGCGAGUCUUCCGGCCGGAGGGUUUAGAGGGCUCCCUCCAUGCUCGGGGACUCGCUCAGGGCGGGCCACGCUACGCCGCUACAAGCCUGGGGAUCGCGAGCGGGGCGCACACCCAUGGGGCCUGGAGCCCUCAAAGCAUCCCCGGGCCCCGCAUCAACCCGUAGCACCUCGGCGCAGCCUCGCGACGCCACACCGCCUCCACUACAUCGACUCUGCAUCGUCCUUCAAUUCUUCCGGAACCUACUUCAUCCCGUGACACUCUCACAUAAUAACGAGCCAAGGCUGUACAUGCCCAAGGCCCCCCGAGUAUGUGGAAGGGGUCCACACCACGCCUAGUGGAGAAGACAAAGGAAUCAACACAGUCCCCCAAUGACUUCCGAAAUUAGGCGCCUAAUGCCUCGGGGGUAGGGACACUCGCGAGGCCAGAGCGUCCUCGUGACCUCCCAUAUACACCCCCACCGUGACACUCUCACGUAAUAACAAGCUGAGGCUGUAUACGCCCAGGCCCCCCCAAGGACGCGGAAGGGGUCCACACCACGCCUAGUGAAAGCCCUAUGCUCAAUGCUGGGGGAAGACGGAGGCGGUGAAUAGCUAGGAUGCCGGACGCGGUUUCUUCUCGUUUCUUCAUUGCGUUUUAAGUUGAGGCCCUCUAAGGAUUUCCCCUUUCUGCUGUAUCCUGAGCUGUCAAGGGCUUGCGGGUUUCCAUGCUUGACGUUUUGAAAAGAAAAGAAGGGUGAUGAUUUCGUUUUUUAUGUUCUCUCGUUUCAUUGGACUCGUGUUCCCUUUUCCCCUUUGCUUUGAUUGAUAUUUCGCGGGAACCUCGGGGGUCUUUGGUUCUCCCGAGGCAAUCGCAAAAAGGGGCGGAAUGCGGAAUCGCUCGAGCGCCAGAAAGGAGGCUCUUGGGUCCUACCUCAGGAGCCUUACCGGUCGUAAUGCCACUCGCCACUAUCGGCGAUGACCUGGUCAGCGCCGGGAGUGGAGAGGCCCCGCCCAGAGAAGCGCGAGCUCCACGGUGGCAGCGAUAUGGGCAGGACUAGGGCAUGACGAUGCUGAGCAGCUUGAGUGUCAAAGGGGGCUCCUGAGUAGUACGCCUCAGGGGCCUCACUGGUCACAAUACCACCCGCCCCCCAGGGCGCCGGGGCUUUGCCCCGUGAGCAGCAACCUUGGUAACUGGUUGCACAACACGGCGGCACGGAAAUGUGCAGGACCAGGACCUGCAGACACAGAGUGACGAAAGGGUCUUCAAACGUCCCCAAAAGAAGGAAGGAGACAUGCGGACGAGCCCACGAUUGCAGGACAAAUCAUUAGCAUUGCAACAUCUCACGCUGGCGACAGUCGUGUCUAGAAUAGAAGCGCCACACGUACUUCGACACCAGGAAACACGUUAAAAGGUACCCACCAGACACGACCUAACUGAUGUUAAACUUAACACAUGAACCUAUCGGGAGUACAUUGUUGUGGAUCCUGAGGGCAAGUCUUCAUCGGAGCCCAUGCCAUGGCCCUCUGGAGAAAUCCUUGCCACCAGGUCUUCUACGUGAACCUCGACCCACUCAGCCAAGGUGGCGAGGAUCGUCUUUGGCACCGGGUCCAGCACCGAAGCAAAGUCGAAAUCAUGGUCGAGGCAAAGAAGGUGACUAAAGACGUCCGAGCCAGCCUGACCCAAAAGGUCGCGACUCUUCUCCUCCGCGAGCGCAAAGGCCUUCUCGGCACUCGCCUAGAGACACCCCACGAAGUGGUAGAAAAAGCCCGAGUACCUGGAGUCAUCACGAAUCAGGGGAUCGUAGACGCCUUCUCCGCAGAUGUUGCCUAGGGCGCGGGAAGCCCUCGGCUCAAGGGACCGGAACAUCCCGGAGCGUUCAAGUUGGAGGCUGCGAGCGGGGGUGGCCUCUUCGGAAGCCUCUCCAACCAUGGAAGACGCGCCUUUCACUUGUUUGCAGAUGUUAGACAGCUUACCCUCGGCAAUGGCCUGUGCGUACAGCGCGACCUAUCAGCUUUCCAUUUCCCGAUUCAACCUCCUCCGGAGGGCACGUGCCUCAUUUUGAGGCGGUCUCGGCGCUUGAGGAAGCAGGACUCCUAGAGCCUCAACUUCACGUGAUAAUAAAGGAGAAGGGAACGUCGACCCUCCGCCACCCUCCUGUCUAUCUCGUACUGAAGCUUCGCUUCACAAGAGGCAAGGGACUCCUCGGCAAGCGGGAACACGUGCUCUCGUGUCUCUAGACGCUCCUUAUCCAAGCACUUCUCCACUUCCGCAAGCACCAGCGAGUCGGUAGAUGCUCGAGGAUCAACAAGGAAGGACUCCGCCGGCGGCCCCCCCUGGGGAACCAUCGGUGGAGCUUGCGCUUCGAGACGAGCGGUGAGGGCGCAUAGCUCCUUGUGGCGGUCCUAGGAGGCCCUGCGUCAACAAUCAGCAUCGAGAGCCUCGGCGAAGGCGCACUCGCGGGCUUCUACCGCCACAGCAAGGGAUGCCUCUGCCUCUGCCUCUGCGUGAGCGCGCUUCCGUUGCAGACGGCUGAGGUUCACGGCAACUUCAAGCUGGCACCACCCCGACGCAAGGUACUAGCGUUCACCUUCCCGGCGGGCCUCAUGACUAGCAAGCCCCGCCCCCAGAUGUUGAAGCGCAUCCGCAGUGAUGCAGAGCAAGCCCGAGGGUGCGGCGGGCGAACCCGCAAUAGGCUUUACAGGGAGGUGGGGGUCCCCACCUCUCGAAGAGCGAAUAGGAGAACCGCCCAAGGCGUCACCUGACCCAAGUCCGUGCUCGGGGGCUGGGGGCUCCCCUAUGGCCGUUUCGUAAAUGUUGUAGGGGUCCAUGGGGAAGGUGCAGUAUGACCCUGGGAGGUGCCACGGGUGAGGGGAAAGGCAUCCCCUCGAAGAACUGAAGGCCUCAAACGAAGAAGAUCGCAGGGGGUUCACGCGUAUGAGGCUCCGGAGACCGGGCUCCAUGGAGUGCGAGGGAAGAAGUCGCGGGACGCCCAACGGCCUCCGGAGCAGGCGACGCUGAUCCCCCCUGGCCCUUGAACGGACACCUGAGGAACAGAGGCUUAGAAGAUAGGUGCGUAAAGGAGGACAAGGAGGGAGACAUGCGCUUACUCGUCAAUGGCCAUCCACUUCUUCCUCGCCGGAGCCCCACGAGCCGUGAGCAAGCCGCCCUUGGACGACUUCCUCUUCGGGCUGGCGGGGGUGCCCUGGCGGAGGAACUCGGCAGCUCUCGAGCGAGGCUCAGUAGUGGGGCAAUGCUUUCCAUUGUCGACCAAUCGUCACCACCGACCCCGGCUCGACGCGAAGCGAGAGCUGGGGGGCGGGCGCCGGUGCGUCGCCCACCAUGAUCCCGGAGGAAACCACACAAUCAGGGUCUUCGCGGGGCUGAACCCUAGGGGGCGCGGCCUCCGGGAAACGUUUUACCCCUCAGGGAGGAGCCCCAAUUCGUCGAAGAGUGGCAUCUCCGCGGUGAGAGCUUCCAAGGCCUUGAAGCGGUAUAGCGGCUGGCCGUCCAGUGGGAGCUCGUCAGGAUUGCCGCCGGUCAACCGGCGAAGCAGCCCCCGUAGGACAUCAGGGGAAAAGGGGGUGACUUGAGUCCACAUCGAGUCGCUGGGCCCUCCAUAAGCCCACAUGGGGCGGGAGUGGCGUUGAAGGGGAGCUAUCCGCCGACAGAUGAACUCGCGCACCACCAUCACCAUCGACACCCCCGCACGCCGCAGUUGUCCCAGCCGAAUCAAGAUCGACGCGAGCUGGGGGUCGCUGAGCUCUUCGCGCACCCACCCCCGGUUCGGCAUCGCCGGGGAUGAAGGAGGUUGGAACAGAGCUUCGGUCCCGGCAGCCUCAAUCUGCACCCAUUGCCGCGAGAACCCUUCCACCUCCGGGAGGAGCUCGACGCAUGGGAUCCCAAGGGCUGUUGCAUCAUCAAUUUUGAAGGAUGCACACCUAGAGCACUUCAUCUCGGAGACCAACUCAAGAGAGAAGAAGUGGCGGAGCAAUGCCACGGAAGGAGUAACACCGACAAAAGCCUCGCACAAGAACGCGAAGGCAGAGAGGAGGAUCAAAGAGCAGGGGUCGAGGUGGAGCGCGUGGAUCUGGUAGUAUGAAAGCACUGUUUCAAGGAAACCCGAGAAUGGCUGCAGCACACGUGAAAGGAGGGCAUGUAAAUGGAGAGGAACCGCGGGACACACCCUCUCCCCCCGAGGCCAUGAGCCCAGCCGGAUCUAGGUGGCCCCCCAUUCAUUGGAGUUGGCGGCAACUACUAGCCAAACCUUGUCCAACACCUCGAGGUUCACCACCGCAGACCGCUCCAGCGCGAUCCGGUGCACCACCGGGACAAGUGGGCCCCGCGAGCCCCUACCUUUUCGCCCUUUCUGAGGCAUGACCGAGAGAACAAGGCAAAGACGACACGACACACAUGGAUCAGAAGGAAGAACCAGCGGCGGAAUUGAUAGGGGGCGGAGACGGGCGACAUAUUCAUGUCAGGAGAUGUAGUGCAAAUAGGAUCGGCUCUCCAUUUUAAAGGCCUGAACCACAGGCAAAUGGGGCCCGUGGCGUUUCAUGCCGCCUCCAAGGCUUCACCGAGAAGCCAACCCACGCACGUCUUGGGCCCGGGGGCUACUGUCGGCGUUCUCGGAAACGGGGUACCCACACCUGCCUGCCUGCAUCCCAGGGCGGGCCCAGCUCAUCGACACGUGGACGACUCGAACAGCACCUCCCGGAACAAGGCCCUCGCGAGGGGCCAAGCCUCGUGAGGAGGAGCAGCGCCAAGACCCGCGGGGACGUCCUUAGGACCCGUCCUGAGCAGCAGACAUUCCGAGGCAGGGCCGGGCCUCAGGAUUCAAGGGUGAGGACAGGAAAGGACAUGCGAGCAGCAAAUGGCAGGCUGGGGCAGUUUCCCCUUUAGUGCAAAGAAGGUGGAAGUGAAUCUGGACUCCAAAGGCAUCUCCUAAAGGUUUCCCUUCUAGUGCAACAAGACCAUGGUCGCCCGUCGACAGGACGGACGUCAUCCCUGUGCUCACCUCUACGGCGCUGGCAGCGUCUUUGCAGGCAAGGACCACUUUUGGCAUGGGAAGCAUGUUCCCUUGUCUCCUACCGAAACUGGCUAUCGGUGCACUAAAGACUGGGGUCCCUAGUGCCCCAGACUUCUGCACGGGCGCAAAGAGCCCUUGUCGGCAGGGCAUGACAGGACCCAGUCAAGAUGCAACCCCCAUGAUUAUCAAGGCCUCGACAAGCCUGCCUUGCCGGGAAGAUGACCAAGGCCACGCCCAUUUGGUGGGCGUGAUUAACUCAGCAAGUACAAGACAUCGGCAAGGUCCCUUGCCGGGAUGACGACCGAAGCCCCCGGCAAGGUCCCUCGCCGAGACGAAGACCCAAGGCCCCGACGAGCUCCUUGCUGGGAUGACGGGGCUGGCCACUGGUGGGCAGCCGCCCUUGCCACAAUGCAACCGCCCCCAAGUUCCAGCGCAUUCCGCAUGCGCCAGCGUAGCGUCUAGGUGUCGUGACACCCGGAUACGUGUCUUCACCAGCACAUCAUAGACAAGGACAAGACGUGCAUUAAAUGCACCUGCCAGCGGUAGAUGAAUAAGCACUGCCAUAGGUUCACUUUAACUCCUCGUGAACCUACCACCCAGCACUGUAGGUGACCCCUUGGCCUAUAAAAGGAGGCCCUUAGCUCAUUCUCAAGGGGUUAGACUCUUUGGACAUUGACCCAUAAGGCGAUCAUCAACAGUCACUGUAACGAUCAAUAACAAAACACUUAAUACAACCAGACAAGCAGGACGUAGGGUUUUACGUGCAAGCGGCCCGAACCUGAGUAAAAAGGCUUGCCAGGUGCUGAUUGUUAGCUCUGCUCUUUACGUCACCUCUCCCCACCCUACGGUCACAAGGGUUUCACAUUGAUUCCCAUAGGUGUUGACCUCGCAUCUGCCGACAUCUUUGGCGCGCCAGGUAGGGGGUGUGGAGUUGUGCGCGAAUCAGAGCAAACUCAGCACCAGAUUCUUCGAAGUUUGGGCGCUGCGCCGUGGUUCCCCCGGAAACUGGGUACCGCGGCGGGUGCUCUGUUAUGCUACGUCUUCCCAAGGCCUGCGCGAGCGCGGGGCAGGGAGGCGGAGGUUCCAAAGGCGGUGCCGUCAGGACGAUGCGUCGCUCGGGGCCAACACGCAGCUGUCGAGUGCGUACCUAGGAGCUUCACACAGACCUCGGUGCAUACUCUGGCGGACGCACAUCUGCGGAAUGAUGCAUAGUCAUUGAGGAUGCGCCAAACGGUCCCGAAGCCCAGGCGCGCACUCCAACGUAAGCGUUGUGCCCCUGAGAGCGUCGCAUCGUCGCCCAAGAUGCGCCCGGGGUCUCCGCAAGCAAAGCCUAGCAAGAGAAAAGUAAAUGGGUUACAACCUGGCCAGCUUUUUCUCCAAACGACAGUCGCGGACUGUCGGCAAGAAGUAUUUGCCGGAGAAAAAGCUAUCGGGAGUGGUAAUUUUCUGCUUGCCGAGGGCCCCAACACCCCGGCGAAAGAUUCAAGCGCCAUGCCACCACGACAUGAGUAGAUAAGUUUGAAGUUUAAGAUUCAGAUCUGAAGUAGAUAGAUUCUCUAUUUUUCCCUUUGAAAGUUUCCAAUCUUUGUGUGUGGAGUGUGUGCAUACUGGGACCUUUCCAAAGAUUAGUGCACCUUGUCUUUGUUUCGAACUCGUUCAAAUGACUUGAACGGCCACAGAGCACCCUCAAACUGUUUCGAACCUGAUCAACGGAGCAAGCGGCUACGUAGCGCCUGAUUCCGUCUCAAGCUGCGCUUGGCAAUUUCUAUGGUUGCACGGAACGCGUCAAGGAGCCUUGCCGGUAGUUGACGACAAGCUCCCAGAGAAUGCAAACGCGAAUCAUACAAAGAAUAGAAUCGGAAAAAGGAAAAACAGUCUUUUCAUUCAUUUGUUUGGGAUACUCUCGAACAUAUUACAUGGAUGAUAUGAUCUACUCUAACCUAGAACUAUUGUCCUUGGUGAGGAACUACGCUCGCCGGACUGGAGUUCAGGAAGACAUGGAGCGGCCCUCCAUGCGAUCCUGGCUGGUUCCUUCGGGACCAGCACCGCGCGGAGGAGAAUGAGGCCGGGAGAGAUGGAGGAGCACAAGUCUAGGCGCUGACGGGAAGAUGAGGCAGCUCCGGUCGGUCCAGCACGGGCGGGAGCAAGCGGCGGACUGACUGUGAUGGUAUGGCGGGCGGUUAGCCCGAGGACGGGUCCUCAUAUGCAGACAAUGUCUGGCGGGGGCCCGACCCGCUUCCGCUGUGGGCACCUUUCCUCCCUUCCUCGUCACUCCCACAUGAGGAAGGCUUUCAGUCCCGCUCGAGCUCUCUUCGCAGCAGCCGAGACGUGCACCUGAGCGCUUAAUGGAGAGCAUGUUAUCCGCUAACUUCUUGAAGCGGAGAACGUGCGUGUCCCAGAGGCUGCAGGCGCGGGCGAAGCUUUUCCUCCCGCAGCCAAGGAACAGGGUCCGAGGCCCAGUAUGCUCCGCGACCACCGGCAUGGCGCCAUUGCCGCAACCAUGCAUGCGAAGCCACAGGGUCGAGGACCCCUCUCCUUCCGUUUCCUCGACGAAGACACCAGGGAGUCGGAGGCGGGACCGGAUUGGUGCUUGUAACUGGAUGAGGAACUCCAUCGGGUUCCUUCCGAUGUGGACCGCCUCAGGAGCAUGCCCCGGGGUAGGCGGAGGCGCUAGAGUAGCGCUCCGCCUCCCCCGGCCUCGACCUCCACGGAUACCGCGGCCCCUCGCCCUUCCUCUGCCAUGGGCGCUCGGGCUGUCUUCCGCCGCAGCGCCCCAGAAGCUGUGGCAUGAUCCGAACGGGAUCCUCUCACCGCCCUAGCGGCCGACUGUGGCCGACCACGUCCCCUAACCAUGGUUAGGGGCGAGGACCACCUACAGACAGAAGAAGACUCUGAAGACCAAGGCUGAUGAUUUUGUGGAUUGAGAAGCAGUUGGGAGAGCAAAACCCCUCGCAAACCCUCCUAAUUUAUAGGAUGGAGCGCAGGGGCUAGCCUCCCUUGCUCCAUAAGCCACCACUCCUCUCGCCCAAUCGCUCGUGCUCACGGGCGAACACAGAACUGCCCUGCUGCACCAACGCAUGCACGGGCGAGCCCAGCCACUACUACGCCUUUUAAGGCCACGUCUGCCACCUGUCCAUCCACAACUGCGCAUGCCACGGGCGUGGCAGAGGCAUUUCAGGAGGUGGAAAGGCCACUCCGCGCACGACCUCCCACUUCGCACAUCCCAUGCGUGGCGUGGGGAAAAGCAACCGCCAACGGAUCCAACCACGGAGUACCAUGCACCUCUUUGGGCCUGGCCCAACAACGCUUCGCAUGCGUGUGUGGCCGAGGCCCGGGGGCUCUUAUCGGUGCACUAAAGACUGGGGUCCCUAGUGCCCCAGACUUGUACACGGGCGCAAAGAGCCCCUGCCGGCAGGGCAUGGCAGGACCCAGUCAAGAUGCAACCCCCAUGAUUAUCAAGGCCCCGACAAGCCUGCCUUGCCGGGAAGAUGACCAAGGCCACACCCAUUUGGUGGGCGUGAUGAACUCACCAAGUACAAGACCUCGACAAGUUCCCUUGCCAGGAUGAGGAUUGAAGCCCCCGACAAGCUUCCUUGUCGGGACGAAGACCCAAGGCUCCGGCAAGCUCCUUGCAGGGAUGACGGGGUUGGCCACUAGCGGGAAGCCGCCCUUGCCAUAGUGCCACCGCCCCCAAGUUCCAGCGCAUUCCGCAUGCGCCAGCAUAGCGUCCGGGUGUCAAGACACCCGGAUACGUGUCUUCACCAGCACAUCGUAGACAAGGACAAGGCGUGCAUUAAAUGCACAUGACAGCGGUAGAUGGAUAAGCACCGCCCUAGGUUCAUUGUAACUCCUCAUGAACCUACCACCGAGCAGUGUAGGUGACCCCUUUGCCUAUAAAAGGAGGCCCUUAGCUCAUUCUCAAGAGGUUAGACUCUUUGGACAUUGACCCAUAAGGUGAUCAUGAACGGUCACUGUAACGAUCAACAACGAAACGAUUAAUACAAUCAGACAAGCAGGACGUAGGGUUUUACGUGUAAGCGGCCCGAACCUGGGUAAAAAGGCUUGCCGGGUACUGAUUGUUAGCUCUGCUCUUCACGUCACGUCUCCCCGCCCUAUGAUCACAAGUCGUUCACGUUGAUUACCAUAGGUGUCGACCUCGCAUCCGCCGACACUGGCCGUUGGGGGAUCCCUUCGCGCCUACGAUAAGGGAAGAGGACCCUGGCGUCCACUUAUCCAGCGCACUCGUGUCUUGUGAGUCACUGACAGUGCGUUCGUCGGGCCCACAAGUACGGUUUGACCAGUCACCUGCGCCUUCUUCCUCCUCUAGUGUGCGGAGGCGGGGCUCCGGUGAUCGUUGCCAGCGAUUGGCAACUCUUGGGUUUCUUCCGAGGGCGGGAAUGGUAUCCCCGCAAGCUACGAGUCUUCUUGGAGGUUGAAAGGUCUGCGAAGACGGAGAGGGUCACCGGUGGCGACCUCCUAGGCGGAUGGCAGUUGCUGGAGUAAUAGGCAUUCGUCUUACGGUGGCUCCCAAUCGCGUCUGAGUGGUGGGAUGGCUUCGUGGGGUCAGGGUGGUUCAACCGAAGGGGAGAACCGCGCAUGAUUAACCAUGCUCUCCUCGAAUUUAACCUUGGAGGGAGCGAGCGAACUCUGACCGGAGGUGAGGAAGAUGGCCUCCCUCGGUCGAUUGGUUGCUAGGGGAGCUUGAGAGGGGUCAGAGAGGUUCUUCUGAGGGUCUGGGCGAGCUCGGGGUCCUAUUUAUAGAGUGGGCGAGGUCGAUUCCUUGCGGCACUCGAUAAGAACGACGACUGCUGUAGGGGCGACGUGGCGGUCGGCUGGCAGGGACCUGGUGCUAGCAGUCAAGUUUGUGGACGAGGUCGAGCUGAUCCAAGGGCAGCUAGUACACGGAUGUGGCUUGGGAGGUGCUGCCAUCACCGCGGCAGGUGCUGCUGGCAUUAGCGGCUAGCAUGGCUCCAGUGGCUGAGGCACGUAGCAAGGAGGGGGUUUGCAGCGCUAGCGAGGGGAGGCUGCAGGCUACCACUGUGAGGGGUCACUGGAUCAGUGCACGUGGGCACGACUACUCCCUGUACAACACGUGCAAAUAGAGCGCUCAGGGCGUGCUUUGGGUAUGCACAGUAGGUGUUCGACCAAAUGCCGAUGCAUGCCAUAGGAGUCCACUGCCUAUGGAACGUCACACGACUAGGUUUGAGAGCUAAAGGGGUUUGAGGGACAUGCUGGUUUGCCUAUUGGAACAAUCCCAUAGAGCAAACUAAAACCAUGCCAAAUGUUGCGAGGCACACAAGGUGCUCCACAGAAUGCCAUGGGCAUCUAGAUGGCUUUGCUGGUCAACAAAUUCCCAGGUUGAUGUCUCUUUGGAAGCUAAGAAUUAUGGCAUGGUAAGUUUUUGAAAAGCAGAAACUUGUUAGUGCAUUAAUUUGAGAAAAGAAUUUUUGGGCAGAAACUUCACGACGUUAAAACAUGGGCUUAAACAAUGCCACUCGAGUUGAUGUCUUGGACUUAAGGUUUUGGUAAGGCCUACUAUCAGCAGUAAAAAUCUGAAGAGAAUUGGGGCAAGAUAAAACAUGGUUGUAGUACAAACUGCAAAACUGGUCCAAAAUAGAAAAGGGGUUGGGGUGCUCAAAAUUUUCGAAAGACCAAAGUGGAUUUUUGCAUAAAAGUGGCCUACACACCCCCUUGACAUUUCCUAUUUUUUGUAGAAUUGUAGAAAGAGUAGAUCCAAUGGUUGUAGUUCAAAACACCAACUGGACUAGAAUGGAAAAGCGAUUGUUUUGCUAAAAUUUUCCAAAACACAUAGUGGGGUUUUUGCUUGAAAGUGAUCCAGGGAUAUCACAUGUCACCUACAUAUUUUUGUAGAAAUUUAAAUGAAGUUAUCAAAUAGUUGCAGUGCAAAUGAGUUCUUUAAAGGAAUCAAAAACUAUUUUUGAAAAAAAUGAAACCUCGAAAACUAUUUAUAAAAAAAUAUCCAGUGGAUCUGUCAAAUGCAAGGGAAAUGUUUUGAGGCAAGCACACUAGUGUCACCAUAUUUUUCAAAAACUCCUACUUGGGGAAGGAAAUUUUAUAAUCCAGAGAAAAGAAGUGGGUCUGAACUCAACAGAAAACCCAUAAUAUUUUUUUGAAUAAACAUGGUGAAAUUUAAAUAAAUAAAAUCAUGGUUAAAUUAUUGGGGUGUUACAGGUCCCAAAGAGACGUUCCUGGGCUUCCCCAGGCCCGCGAGCCGAGCAAAUCAUACCGCGGACGUGCGAUGGGUUCGCUUCAUCUCACAUGGGGAAUUGGCGCAUGACGGGGCACGGGGCCCCUCCGUCUAAGAGUCGAGCGCCACAAGUGGUGCAUGACGGGGCGCGGGGCGCUCCCACUUCCCCAUGACACUUUUACAACCGUCCGGUGCUGACAUAAAGCCUGCACGUGGAGUGCUGGGCCAUCAUUGCCCCCAUUAAACUUCCGCCCGCUGAAUGCAGGCAAGGAGGCGCAGGCUGAACACCCACUUGGAUGCUCCAUAUAAGGAAUAGGGAAAGGGUCUCCUACCCCAACUUCCUAAUCCUUGCUCUUCGUUCUUUCUUGUUGUCGCCGCACUGAUGGCAUGAGUGAAGAGAUCCUAUAGCAUCGAGAAGGAGAUAGAAGUGAAGGGGGGAGCGGGCACACCGCGGCCGGCGAGGGGAAGAGGUCGCCCCCGCGUUCUCAGUGCCGUGCUUGGGGCACAUCUCAGGGGACGCGGGAGCUCCCCUCCGGCGGCUUGUGCCGGCCCGAGAAACCAUGGGAGGGGUUCUAUUUGCGGGCGUGGGCUUGGCAGACGAGGCCACCGCGGAUGAGGCGGCCACGGACAAGGCGGCCACGGAUGAGGCCAGCGGUACGACACAGGCACCCAGCCUGCCAGGUCGUGAAGUCGCUCCGCCGAUGCGGCCCGCGAGUUCAUCGUACGGAUGGAGGGCAAGCCUCGCACCUCGCUCAAUCUCCCAGACUAUUUCACGGAGGAGAUGGAGGAGUACGUGCCCCUAGGCCUGUGGAUGCAGCCAGACGACUGCUGCAACGAGCCUACCUGGGGGGCGUUGGAGUUUAAAUUUCUCAGCUUCAUGUUCUUGGGGCGUGGGUCGAAGUCGUUCACACUCGCCCAGGGGUUGCAGGAUGGGCACGUCCCGACUUCAAGUUCGACGGGGCCGCCACACUCUUCAUGAAGACCUUCGGGGAGCGCUGGUGGUCACCUCAACUGCUGAAUGCAAGGCGACAGCAGCGGCAAUGGCAUCCCUUACGACACUGAUGGCAACAACAGGUCCUCCUGCGGGGGGGAGCGGGGGGGGGGGGGGACGACGACUCCGAUGGUUUCCCGAGCGCCUGCGUCAAGGAGGAGGGAUCUUACUAAGCACGCGCGACGUCAGUGUUGAGGCACGUGGCGGCGGCGCUUCUGGAGCCCGAUCUUCCUUCUCUUGCAUCAUCUUCCCUUUCUUGUAAUGCAACAUGCUGGCCCCGUGGGGCGUGUAAAAAGAGUUAUGGCCCCGAGCAUGGGUAUGAGGGCUCCUGAGGCACGGUGCAUAAGGGCUCACCUUCAGCGUGCGAGCGGAUCACGCAACAGGUUGCUUCUUGUGGAGCCCAUCUUGUGAGGCCCUUUGAGGGAAGCCCUACGGAGAAAACGCCUUGUUCCCAACGGUACGCGCUUGGCCGCUAGAAUUUGGGCAUCACACGAGAAGCAUAGGACCCAAGGGACUUGAUGAGGUGACAUGCACGUGGGCGUGCCCACGGGCCAGAACACCGUUCUCUAGGUUCCCAACACCACUCGGGCAGACCCAGGCGAAGAUAUCGUGCCAAGCCCCCGCGACCAUGAGGCCCAAGGUAAAGCCAGUGGGCGCGUAUCGCGGGGGGAAACCUGCGACUACUCAACUAAGGGCUUUCCACCCUAAAGUAGUGCGGCCCCAUGGGGCAUUCUUCGUCUUCUUCUCCCGAGCGCGAUGCAUGGGGCUUACACUUGGAGUGGGCAUGGUAAGACAAGAGAAAACUAACAAAACUCCACGAAAACUAGAAGACCAAGACCCUCAUUAAAACUCAAGGAAAACUUGUUUACAAGCCCAAAAAGGGGAGGUGUGGCUGCCGUGCCGAGCACGAGUCAGCGUGAUGAGGUUGUUCAGAAGUCAAAGAAAGAAAGGAAGAAAAGCGAUUCCAUAUCCAGCAUGGGUCAAGCUAGAAAGAAAUGUGGCUGCCGUAUCCAACAUGGGUCACCCUAAAAGAAGCGCGAUUGCCGUGUCCAGCACGGGUCAGCCUAGGUUAGUUGCGGCCCGUGGCAUGUCUUUUUUUAUCGUUCCCAAGGCGCAAUGCAAGGGGCUUACACUAGGGUGUGGGCUUAGUCGCGGUUCGAUAGUCAUUCCGCCAACACGGAGCAUAGUGACUUCCACUUGGGCGUGGGCGGGUGCCCUCCAUCGAGGCCAUGACACGGCUCGUCGCGAGCUUCCACUUAGGAGGCUCCAGGCAUACACAACCCACUCAUUUUUACGUGAGAGUGUCAAGGGCGAUGAUGAUUGGGCGUAUACCCCACGCCCAAGGCACAAGAGUGCCUAUACCGGUCUUUAGGUGCUUCCAUGCGUUUCGCGUGGGAGUGAGCAUAUUGCCGCAGUGCUCCUGUGGCUCAAACAUGAGCGGCAUCGCGCCCCACGUGGCCACCUUAGCGCGUCGUUAGGCGAGUUGUUACGGGACAAAGCAUAGCACCUGCCCCGCAGUAGCGCAAGCCAAGCCUCAUUCCCUCCAUCUGCCCGCGACGGUUUUCCGGGAGGGCGUGACACUAUGGACCUUGGCGAGUAACUAGCACGGGAAGCCAGCCCGUGAGACAGAGCUCGAUCACUUAGAUUUCUUGGUGCUGCGAGGACAAGUCCUCACACAAACGCCAUGUCUAACCCCCAACAUGGAACCAUCACAGGGCCAUUGUAGGGGCGCACAAGCCCCCGAUAGCGGAGAGACACCACAGUUUAAGCUUUAGACAAAUGAUAGCGUCUCAAGUGAAGGUUAAUCAAGCUUGUUACAUAUCCAAGAAACACCCGCUUGGGGCGAUGCAAAAUACACGGAAUAGGUUGAUUCAAAAAAUCCAAAAAGUCACGUGAUGGCCAGGCUGCCGCGGGCGCGUUAGGCUGCUUGAUGUCACUAGUAGCAGGGGUCUACAUCACUAGUGGGGGUCGUGGGCUCUUGAGGCUUCACAAGCCCAUGGGGUCCCGACGCUUCGUGAGGCGUAAAUGGUGCACACCUCUUGCAGCUUGUUGAUUUCCUAAGCAGUGAAAUUGUGUGGCCUUGGCGCUUGGCGCCAUGCUCUCGGCUCAUGAGGGCGCAUGCUAGGGUGCGCCUCCAUGAUGUCCCCGGGAGCCCCCUCGUCACACCAACCAAGUCAAGCCGCUCCAGGCGGGAGCCAUGGAGGCCGGCCUGACGAGGGUGCUCGACGCGACCUCCUAUGCUGGAGGGAGGUGCACGCUAACUUGCGGCGCGAGGCCCGUGAUACCAGCAUCUUCUUUGACACCGUUUCCCCCGGUGGCCGUGCUCACGAUGGUAGGGCGCCGUCAUCCCGGGGGCACGUGCCAUGAGACCACCCGUGUCGAGCAUCUUCUUGAGGCAGAGUGCUUCCCCUGUCGCCACGGGGUUGGUUGCGCCGGCCUUUAUGAGGGUUGUCCCCGGGGCACCCCCUUCGCCGCUCCUAUGGUCGCAUUCUCACUAGUCAACGUGGCUCCAACACCGGAUGGUUCGCUCACUGCGGGAAGACCCGAUUGCCCGGCAGUCCUCCAUGUUGUGAGUGCGUGCAUUGUAGUGGGCAUAGAAUAUCCCACCGAUUCUUUUGGGCGCGCUGCCGCAGUGGCCUGGUAGCACCCCAGUGCCGGUCACCAAGAACCAGAGGUGCAGGAGAAACGAUGCGAGGUGGCCCUGUCUUGGGCCCCUCUGUCUGUGGACCGAGCGAGUCACCGCGUGGCGGUGAAGGCGGCUCGCUAGCCAAGCCCCCUACUUCGGGCACCCGGGGCCGAAGGGGGACGUACGGUGCACGAGCCUCCUAGUGACGGUGAUGAGCUCGAUAAUGUGACCCCCGCAGCCCCGCGCUCCGGGCGCACGUGGCGAGCACCGGCCACGGGGUUGGUGAUGAUGGGCGUGAAACUAGAGCUGAAGAGCGGCUGCGCACCCUUACCUGCCACGCCAAAUGUCAGAAUUGUGGCUCCGCAAAUCCAAGAAAAGGUUCGAACUCUGGGGUGCGCUCGCUCUCCUACCAUGUUCUACCUCUCGACUUCAAGAUGACUCGUCGGUGGCAUGUGCUAAGGGAAGCGAACGUGGUAGUUUACCCAGGUUCGGGCCACCUUGUGGUGGAAAACCUUACUCCUUCUUGGAUAUAUAGAUUGCUCGAGGUGGAAGACGAGUAGAAAAGUGGGUUCUUGCCCUAUUUCAACACACUAGACCUUGGAUCCCCCACUACGGAGACCGAGCCUCUGUUUUAUACUGGCCUUGGUCCUCUUCCCCAAAAACAUAGUUUGGCGGGAAGGGUAGUCACGACGCCCAUUUUGAAAGGGGAUAGGACUCCGGCUCACCCUCACAAAGGUGGUCUUUGCGUGCAAAAGCACUUCUUCGUGAUACGCUGGUGUGCUCGGGGGUGACCUCCAUCCUGCUGAGCCCCCAGCCUUAGUCCUCUUUCACCGAUCAGGAAACCUUUGGGGGGUUGCUUUGGAAACCUGCAGCUGGUUUGGCUCCCUUAACACCAAAGGGGAAACCUCUUUGUUUGUGCCCGCUGGCACCGACCUUGGUACCGUGCAGCGUGGCUCACGUCAUCCAUGUAGGAGGCUAAACCAUGCAACCUCGAUAGACCGCCCUCAGUUAGUCCGCUCCUCGGGUGGAGGAGCGUCAGGAGGAGCCUUCUUCCCAUGAUCCUCGCGGGGAACAUCCUGGGGAGCACCCUACAAUCGGCCCCUCGGAAGGAGGGGCCCUCACGAGGGCCGAACCCUCAGGGCCCACAGCGUGCACUGGGCCCUUGGGUUGUAGGCAAGUGGGCCUUGGGUCCCUCAGUCCCAGAGCCUUGACAAUAGGCAAUUGAAUAGAAUGUCGCAUGCUUGAGUGUUGUAUUGUAGUAUCUUCAAUUCUUCCUCUAUCGCUUCACGAUCCGGUUCCCUUCCAUCACCAAAGAUUUCACCGUACAAACCAACAUGAAAAAUAGCCUAAAUGAUGGGCUUAUGACCAAGAAUAUGCAUUUUCAUUUUAUGCUUCCAACUAGCAAAGUUUGUACCAUUGGAAAAAGGACCUCUACGGUGAUAGUUUCCCUCAUAGACGCUAAACUCUCCUAGUUUGUGAAAACAAUGCUGUCGGUGUUCUAGGAAUAGGGGUAUCCAGACCUGCCUGCCUGUGACCCAGGGCUGUCCCACUUAGUCAAGCAAGCACAAUCGGGCACGGCACCACUCAAGGCAAGGUCCUCGUGAGGGGCCAAGCCUCGCGAGGGGGGAGCAACAUGAAGACCCGCAUGGGGCCUCGCCAGGACCGCUCCGGAGAGGCACAUAUUCCUAGGCGAGACCCGACCUAAGUAGGCAAGGAUGACGUGGAGGAAGGACACGCGAGCAAUAGACAACAGGACGAUGCAGUUUCCCCUUUAGUGCAAAGGGAGCAAGGACCAACGCGGGUUCCCAAGACAUCCUCCAAAGGUUUCCAUUCUGGAGCAACAAGGCCACCACCGCCCGCCAGCUGGACGGAUGUCAUCCCUAGACCCGUCGCUGCAGCACUGGCAGCCACUUUCCACGCGAAGACUACUUUUGGAUAUGGGAAGCAUGGUCCCCUGCCCCCUUGAAAAUUGGCCUUUGUGGGAUCCCUUCCCAUUGAAACGAUAAGGUAAGACUACCAGGGCCGCCACUAUAUAUAUAGAGAGUAGGUUACUUCAUAGGGGAUUCAUUCAUUCGCCCAUCUGCACCACACAAAGGCCACCUAGCCUCCGGAGGCCCUCAAACACUGUACUAGUUCAUCCACCAACCUCCACGAGGGGCCAUCCACCAAAGCAGGAGUACGGUAUUACGCUUCUUGGUGGCCCGAACCUGGGCAAACUGUCAUGUUCUGUGUCUUCCUUACCAUCGAGUGAGUUAUGUGCCAUCCCCAGCGAGUAGCGAGUUAGGUGAGGCGAGCCCGCGAGAGAUCUUUGUACACGCCCCAGAGUUCGAAUCUUUACGGUUUUGCGGAGCCCAAAAUCCGACAAAUGCAACGGAAACCAAAACCUUGAUACCAGUUGCAGGAUCCAAAUUAUGUCUACAGGGGGUGGGGUGAUUAGACUACUUGACCAAAUAAAAACUUUGCAUUUUCCCAAUUUAAGAUGUGGUCCAGUUUUAGCAGUUUUAACUAGUUAAGCACACCCUACACAUGCAUAUAUAAGAGUACUAGAGCGAAAAAUAAUGACAUGCAAAUGUAAGUAGAGGGUAGGGAAAGGAAGAUCGAACGCAAGGGUCGACAUGGCGUUUUUGGCGUGGUUCCGAUAGGUUGUGCUAUCGUACGUCCACGUUAGUGGAGACUUCAACCCACGGAGGGUAACAACUGCGAGAGUCCAUGGAGGCCUGCCCCCACAAGGGGUCGACGAUGAAGCGUCCUUGUCUAUUCCACCAUGGCAUACGUGCACACAUGACUAGCCUCAGUCGUGGUAGAUCUUCACGAAGUAGGCGAUCUCCUUGCCCACACAAACUUGUUGGUCUAACUCCACAAUAGAAAGUAGGAGGCUCCCAAGUGACACCUAACCAAUCUAGAAGGCACCAACCUCCGAAAAGGUAAUAGAUGCGGUAGAACGAUGAACUCCUUGUUCUUGUGCUUCAAAAGAUAGUGUCCUCAAAUCUCAAUCAUACUCUUGCAGAUUUGGCAUGGGUAGAAGAGAUUGAUUGGGUGGAAAGCAACUUGGGGCGGCUAGGGAACAAGUUGCAAAUGGGUGGAUUGGAAUAUCAUGAUCUGAACAGAUGAGUAGGCGGCUCUCUCUUAGAAAAACGAAUAUGGCAAGUGUAUGUGUCUUUUGAGUGCUUCGUCUACGAAUGAGAGGUGGUGGCUGGGUAUAUAUAGGCAUCUCCUAAAAUCCAACCGUUACAACAUUAUUGCCCAACUCGGGGAAAACUAAAUGAAUCUCGGUGGCACCGAUUUGCACAAAAUGUGGCAACUUUUGACUUCUCGAUGGUACUAAUAGGGUGAUCUAGGGUAGUUUCCAAAUCUCAGUGAGACCGAUUGAAGACUCGGAAAUUCCGAUUCUUGAAAAGGACACACCAGAACGUUGGUCACUGAUUUUCGGUGGCAUCGAAUUGAACGUUGGUGGUACUGAGAUUAUAGGGUUUGGCAUAGGUUUUGUCUCUAGGAAUCGGUAGGGCGGAGUGAAAAAUAUUGGUGGCACCGAUUUUGAUGUUUAGGCUUUUGGACAAAAAACAUUGUGGGAGAAUGGCUGAGUAUUUUUGGUGGCUAUAUCUAAGCACUUGAGCAACCAAUUCAUCAUCGAUACCUCGCCCCUGUUUAAUAGUAUUGGCUAUCUCUAAGCACUUGUAGCUUGAAGCUUGGUCAAUCCUAUUCCUUUCCUUGCAUCAAGGGGUUUCUCCUCACAAUCCUUAGCCAAUGCAUCUUUGAACUUAUUGAGACAUACUUGGAUAUAAUCAUUAGUUCAAUGACAUAUAUGUCGUUAUAAACUACCAAAACCACCUUAGGGACCAAUUGUGCUUUCAGGGUGCGACAAGCAGCACUUUGACACCGACGUCUUGCAGCAAAAAUCCCCAUCAAAGUACAAGAUCCAGUGUUGAAGUGUUGCGUUGCUGUGAAGGGUGUAUUCUAUGUUUUAUUAAACUGAUUGUGGUGUCCAUUCAGCAAUGAACUCCGCCAGGCAUCUUCUGUUUAUGAUCGUCGUGCUUCCAAAACCCAGUUCAAAGCUAGCCAGGUCUAGAGUCCACUCAACAAUUCUACCAGUUGUUUCCUGGUUCCUAAGGAUACACUACAGCGGGAUGCUGGUGCCGAUGGUAAUGUGGUGCGCUUGGAAGUAGUGGCACAGCUUCCGCGAGGCCAUGAGAAGGCAGAAGAGCAGUUUCUGUAUCCCAUAGUACCUUGACCUAGCCCCCUACAAGAUAGAGUUGACAAAGUAUACUGGCCAUUGCACCACCUUCUUUCUUUGCACAACCUGCUCUCCUGCCUCUUACGCCUGUCGUGGAAACGAACACCUACGGGACCGCAAGGAUCCCUUUACGGUUCAACGAGGAGAGAGGAUUACACCAAGAGCAGAACCAAUGAUCAACGCGAGGGGGAUUUUUACCCAGGUUUAGGCCGCUGAGAAGUGUAAUACCCUACUCCCGCUUUAGGUGUAUUCGGUGUUCUAGGGCUCUCGUUACAGGAGCACUAUGCAGUGCAUAGUAGCUACAUACUGAGAGUCGAAAAAUCCUAGAGCUGUGAGUCUAAAAACUUGAUCCGAUGCCCCUAUCGCUAUGCCUUGGGCCUUCUUUUAUAGGUCAAAGGGGUCACCAACAGUGGAGAACAGUGCACACAUGGGGUGCACAGUCUAUAGUGUUUAUUGUUGUCUUAAGACAAAUGCAGUAAACAUGGCACACAUAGGGUGCAUAGUUUACUGGUGUCUUAAGACAGACACAUUUAAUGCUUUGUCAGGCGUCCCUGACCCUCUGCGACACGGGACAUGGAUGCGUCCCAUCAGCACAUCUCAACCCCCACAAGUGCUCGACACGUAUCCAAGAGGAUCGACGGGUGGCUGUUGCGCUGGAGCGGUGGCAGGUUGGCAGGAUCUUGUCGGGGCUUCUCUAGCUACCCCCGCAAGGAUCUUGCCGGGAUCCCAGCCUUUGGUCUUCUGUCUUCUUUGUAUUUCCCUUCAACAGUCCCCCGACAGGCCUUCCCGCAAGUGUGGCUACAAUUGCCCAUGCACAAAUAAGGGGUACUAAAGGCCCAAACUAUAGUACACCGAUAGGAUCCCCCGGGCCUAGGCCAUACAUGGACGCGGGGCAUUGUUGGGAUAGGCCCAAACAGUGCGUGGGCAUGCGUGGCAGGAUUUAGCGGCGCUAAUCAUUUAUGUUACCAUGACUGCGCCCCUUCUCCCCCACGACUCGCAUUGAAUGGGUGACGUGGGAGACAUGCGCGGAGCGGCCGAAAUGAUCACGUGUGUGUAGAGGUGUUUUUUGGUGUGCCAAGAGGCGACCCCGCAUCCUACCCAUAAAGAGGAAACCAAAGAGGCACUUGCUCAUUACCUCCUUCCCUUUCCAAUCUCGGAACCACCGUCUUCUUCUUCCUCGAGCGCGAGAUAGAGCCUCCCUAUCCAUCCGUCGCUCCCAAUCCCCCACCAUCGUCGUCCUAUGCUCCCAUCGUCGCCAUGCUGCCUAAGGCAAGCAAGGGCAAGGAGGGAAAGGGUGUCGUCAUGGAGAACGAGCUGGUGAAGAUGCGAAGAAGCUUGUUGUCUUCCCCCCAUGGCUUGAUGCAACAACUGUGAGGGAUUGGUAUCUGUUCAUGUGGGCGAGGGAGACGAAGGCCCACCCCACUACCCACGUGAAUCCAGGUUUUGCCAGUGGUGGCUUGGACAAAUACCCUUUCUUUGCAGACUAUUUUUAAUGUGGUCUUUGUCUCCCUUUCUCCAAUUUCUUCGUCAACAUCAUGUACACCUAUGGCUUCCAGUUCUUGGAUUUUACGCUGAAUGCGGUUACAUGCAUGUGUGUCUUCGCCCACCUUUGCAAGAAUUUUGCCGGAGUCGCCCCCAACACAGCCCUCUUCCGCCAUUACUUCAUCCCCCGUAUUCAAAAGGGGGAUGCCCUUUCUAGUUCUAUUUUCUGUAUUACAAGGGGAUGGAACAAGGAAAUUUACCCAGAACGGGUCUUACGCGAGAAGUGUGAAAAAUGGCGGGGAAAGUGGUGCUAGAUUCGGGAGGAGGAGUCCUAGCCUUUCUGCUUGCCCUAGACAACAAAGAUGACGCGCAACAACUACUGGAGAGCUUUCGAUCCUCAAGAUGAGAAGCUUACCAUCGCCAUUACCAGAAUCAUGCGCCUCAAGUAUGCUAGGCUCUAAGUAGAGAUGGUGGGCACCGAUUUCCUUCGCUGGUGCAUCGCCCCUGUGCAGAACAAAGGGAGGCCAGCUCGGGAUUUCAAGAAUGCGACAGAUAUCAUGAGUGUGCGCCAUGGGCUGAAGAGCAACCUAACGGUCCUGCAACACAUAGCCCUCUGCCACAAGUUGUUCAUGACUAACGGGAAGUUCAAGCUGCCAGCAUGAAUAGUUCCCCUGUGCAACAAAUCUGUAGUGAGCUCAAUCGUCGCCAUGAUGCUGUCGUGUAACGCCCAUGGCCUCGACAACACUUGGGAUGAGCCAGCCGCCGAGUAGGUACAACAGUUUGUUGAUAACUUGUUAGAGAAACCCAUCCGAGAAGAUACGAACCUGGUCCACCCCACCAUUAAUGAAGAAAUGGCGUACAUCGCCAACAGGGUCGAGGAGGAGAGACUUACCGCAGAGGCCGGUAGCAUUGGCUUCAUGGGAGGAGAAUCCAGCGAAGAUGAAAUGGUGUCGAAGGGAACACUUGCCCGGCCGGACGAGGUUGCCGGGGAGCACAGUUCCGCAGCUGUCGGGGGUCCUUAUGCCGAAGAUACAACUGAGGAGCAGCCGCACGAGGAGCCCCCAACUCCCAAGAAGAAGCGUGUUCUUCGGAAACCACCUCCAGCGCCCCGGACCAGCAACCUUCCGCUCCUGCCAUAGCCAAGCGUCCCAGGGAUACUCCUCCACCUCCUCACGUGGACACUGUGGUGGAAGUCAACUUAAACCUCUCCGCCUUUAGCUCGGAAGAAGAAGACUAAGAGCCCUGUCGUGUCUUUCAGCUUCUGAAUUUAUGGCUUCGCUUAGUUUGCUUCUCUUGAUUCGGCCUGUCCCGCAGAGAUACGAAACGUUGGCGCAGAGGAUGGUGAAGAAGGCGAAGACCUCGAUGGGCGAUGAGCCCUCAGCAUGCACCACAGGUGCGCUAUAAGCAACUUCCAUCAACCCAGAGCUCAGCCCACGAUGAAGUCCUCAAUGCAGCCACCAACGUGGGUCCAUUACUCCUUUCCCACUCGUGAGUGUUGGGGUGCUUCUCUUUGCCACUAACAUCGUCGGUCUUGUAGGAGAAGAUUGGCGGCAAGGAGAGCCAUCAGAGGCUGCCCCUGACGCGCCACCUCCAUCAACCGCGCUGCCCGGAGACGGAUCUCCGAUAAGGGCUUUUGCUAGCAAACUCAUCCUUGUUGAGGAUGACUCGGCAAGCGCACGGGCCGGUAGUCCUACAUUGGCUACCGAUGUUGUCGGGAAAGGAGCAGCAACCUCUGAACAACUUGGUACAGGUAACCCGGUUGCCCAAGAGUACUUAUUAUUCUGUCUCUGUGUCGAUUUUUGUCUUCUUGAACUUCUAUCUUGGUCUCAUCUUGUUCCCCUUCUUUUGGUUUCCAGAUCCCCCUCUGAUAGAACACAUGGAUGUCGACGCCAUCAUCCAGGAGAUUGCCAUGGAUGCUGCCUCCAAGGCCGAAAACGUUGCUGCUGAUGAGGCCGCCAAGGGUGCACAUGAGGAGACCGCCAAGGGGUUCAUGGAGAGGGCCGACAAGGAGCCCAAUGACCGUAUUGACGGCAUUCCUGCCGCAGGAGCGCUAGGCGCUAUGCUGGCCACAAAUACCUUGUUUAUCGGUGGGGUGGAUGUUGAGGAUCAGCCGUCAGCAUCUGAAGCCCCCUCUCCUAGCAGAUACCUCGAAGCUGGCGAGAAUCUGUUCAUCGACAUGUGAGGAGUGGCAAGUGCUAGGGCGCCCAUUGAAGGAGAAACCCUUGAUGAUGAGAUCACCACUGCUGCCGGGCUCAAGAUAGUUGGUAAACCAAGAGCUGGCGACAACAAAUCCAAGGAAGAACAACUCCUCCAAGCCAUGAGCAACAACUUCCAGCAGCUCCAGGCGCUCCAUCGUGGCCGAAAAGAGAAGCUGGACUUUAGGGCAGCGGUUGUUGAAGCAAUGGAGGUGGACUUCCAGAAGCGUGUUAGGGAAAUGCAAGCCUGGUUCGCCGAAGCCCUCCAGGAGAUGCAAUCUGGUCGGGAAUAGUUGAACAAAUACCGAAAUGAGCUCCUCUUGAAGCAGUCUGACAUCCAGCAGGCGCAAGAGGAGGCCUCACAACGGGUUGUAGUAGAGGAAGCCCACCUAACGCAGCUCGGCGUCGGGCUUGAUGCUCAGGAAGAGGAUCUUGCCGCCCGAGAGAAGGCGCUCCCCGAAAAGCUUCGCAACAAGGAUGAAGAACUCGAGAGACUCAUCGCGCAGCGGAUUCGGGAGUUGGAGUAGAAGCAUGAGGAAAUCCUUGUGCUCAAGCAAUAGACCAUGCCGGCAAGUUGAGGGAAGCCAUUGAUGUCGACGUUGCUGCAGAGGCCGCCAAGAAUGAGUUUGCCGACAAGGUAAAGAGGAUGGAGGUGGAUCUUGAAGGUCUCAGCAAGGAGAUCUCGAUGGUCAUGGUCGAAAGGGAGGAGACUCUCUUAAGCUUGGCGGAGAUGUAGAUCGUCGUAUCCGACAAGACCGCACAACUCAACUCAGCCAACCUCCAUCAUUGAUCUAAAGCUGAAGUUGGCCAGAUUGGAAGAGACCCCUAAGAAUGGAAAGGCUCAUGAGAGGGCCUUGACCAAAGAUUUCCAAGAUGAGAAGGCUCUAUUUGAGAAUGUCGUCGUUGCUCAUGACAAAUAUGUAGGAGGCGUGAGGGUCUGGACUGAAUGCCUUGCCGAUGUCGCGGGAAGGGACACGACGUAGCUGUCCACCAUAGGACUGCACAACUUCCGCUAUUCUUCCGAUGCAGGGACAUCCUAGAGAGCCAGGUUAACUCUGUUCUUCGAUAACCUGGUUGAUGAUCUGGAGCGGCUCCACUCUUGUCAAGCAGCCCAUCUGGCCAACGAAUCCCGCAAGAUCUGUCAGACCGUCCUCCUCAAGGUGCUCACCAAAGUGGCGGACAAGAAUCCAGGCACCAAUCUCACCAAUGUGCUUGAACGCUUGCCGAAGGACGUGGACCUUAAGGCGCUUGAGGAGCUGGUCAUGCCCAUCGUCUACAAGGUGAGCCAAGUCAAGAGGGUUGAAGGCCAGCGUAAGGACUAGCCGCUCCACUUGUUUUUGCCGCUGUGAUUCCAUGUAAAAGAAAAUUUUAUCUUAAGUUAGAAUCACGGCAACUAUUAAUGUGAUAUACUUGGUUGUGCUUUGAAUGGAUGUAUGGUAUUUCUCUUGUGUGAUUUCCUCCCGUAUUGUCCAUGCCCUAUGCUUUAAUGGAAACUUGCCGGUGCGCACAACCUUGCUGCGCGCGCUUCGAGGAACGAAUCCUUAGCAACCUGCUAGAGGCAUCGCUGCCAGCAAUAUACCUUCGCACAAUCAAACUUCUCGGUGCACACAACCCUGUCGCGAGCACUUUGAGGAACGGAUCCUUAGCAGCCUUCUGGAGGUGCCGCUACCGACUAGAUAUCUUGUCGCAAUCAGUUGUUGAGCGGGCUCGAAACAAAGUAAGGGCGCAACCGAUCAUGACGAGGUUCCUUCAUGUGUAGGUUUUCAAACAAAAGUCAAAAUCGUCCAAGGAAAAUAACUUUACAGUUCAAAAUUUACUCAGAGUUUUUGCAACUUAAUUUUUUGUUGCUGCACUCCUUUCUGUUGAACAGAACAUCGCGUGACCAUCGUCUGUUGGUGUCCAUACAUCAUCCCCCCGGCAAACUUGUAUGCGAGGGAACCUUCAAUCCUUUGAGAAAAAGAAAGAAGAGAAAAUAGGGAUAUGCAAUCUUGGCAGUUCGUUAGUACUUGUUGGAAAUAAGCGUAACACAAAAUACCAGACAAUCAUGCACAUAAACAUGAAAAGCGACAAGAAUUGUGAAGCACUUAACUUUAUUUAACCAAGCACAAGGUCUGCGCCUCGUUUUGUACAAAGGAUUACAUGCCUUGCCGGCAAGACUUGAACAAAAGGUUGUUUCUGGGAGGCCCGACAACCGCGCCUUAUGGAUAAAACUUACAAAGAUGCUCGAUAUUCUAGGAGUUGAUCACGAGAACGCCAUCUUCGAUCUCCAGGCGGACUUCUCCAGGCCUGGUGACUCGUACCACCUGAUAAGAGCCUUCCCACUUUGGCGUCGACUUGUUGAAAUUCUAGGCCAACUGAACGUGUCGAAGAACAAGGUCGCCUUCCUCAAGACUUCGGGAUUGAACCUUGUGGCUAUGGUAGUGGCGCAAGGCUUGCUGGUAGCGUGUAGCUUGCACAGCAGCCCGAAGACGAUGUCCUCAAGGAGCGUAGUGUCAUCUUGCCGCAACUGCUCUUGCUCAAGCUCAUCGUAGGCAAGCACUCGAAGUGACCUGUAUAUGAGUUCAGUGGGGAGAACUGCCUCUGCCCCAUACACUAGGGAGAAGGGUGUCUGGCCGGUGGCUCCACUUGAUGUCAUUUUGAUUGACCAAAGAAUCGCCGGCAGGUCAUUAAUCUAGCGUCUUCCACACUUGCGCAAGUUGUCGAAAGUUCUUGUCUUGAGGCCUCGCAACACUUCAACAUUUGCCCUUUCCGCCUGGCCGUUGUUCCUUGGAUGGGCAAUAGAAGAAAAACAGAUCUUGCCACCAAGGUCUUAGACAUACUGCAUGAAGGUGCGGCUCGUGAACUGCGUGCCAUUGUCAGUGAUGAUCUUGUUUGGAACACCAAAGCGACAAACUAGUCCCUUGAAGAACUUGACGGCUGGUUGUGCUUUCACCUUCCUCACUAGUUCUACUUCCAGCCAAUUUGUAAACUUCUAGAUUACAAUGUACAAGUACUCAAAGACCCCGGCAGUGCAGGGGAAGGGCCCAAAAUUUCGAGCCCCCAGACCGAAAAUGGCCAGGAGAAAGGGAUUGUGUGAAGAGCUUGGGCUAGUUGAUGCACUUUCUUUGAAUGGAAAUGGCAUGCUUCACAAUUGGUUACUUGCACCGUUGCAUCCUGGAGGGAGGUGGGAUAAAAGAAACCUUGUCGGAUUACCUUACGAACAAGAGCUCUUGAACCUAUGUGGGAGCCACAUAUGCCUCCAUGUAUCUCUGCCAACGACCCUAGCCCAUCUUCCUAAGGAAUGCACUUCAAUUUCACACCAUUCGGUCACUUUUCGUACAGGGCAUUGUCCACAAACUUGUACAUAUUUGAUCGAUGGGCUACUUUCUCUGCUUCUUCCCGCUCUUCUGGGAGCUCCCCUGUUUGGAGGAAGUGAACAAUGUGUUGUGCACAUGCUAGAUCCUGCGGGAGCAUUCGUCUCUACGGCAAGGACUCGAGGUCCUGCCUGAGCUUGUUGCUCCCCGAUAGGCUUUUUUUUCCGGCAACUUCUUUGCCGACAUGGUUCUUGUCGGCAACUUCUGGCAGCUCCGCAGGAAAGUACUGUCCGGAUUCAAUUUCCUUUUCUUAUCUGUCCUUGCUGGUGGUUCCACGGAUGGUUGAGUCAGUGGGAGCACAACAAUCCAUGGUUCCACAGGUAUCUUGAGGGCAACACACUUUGAGAGUUCAUCAGCAAUGCUAUUUUCUGCACGAGGAACAUGCUCUGUUUGCAGACCAUCGAAGCGCUCCUCCAACUUCCUCACUUCAUCUACGUAGGCUUCCAUCAACGGGCUAUGGUAAUCUUUGUUGACUUGCCAGACGACAAGCUAAGAAUUGCCUCUGAUGAUGAGUUUAUUGAAUCCGGGGUCUGCCGCGAUCCUGAGACCAGCAAGCAGCCCUUCGUACACUGCAAUGUUGUUUGUUGACUUCUCCCAGGGAAAACACAUCUGGAUUACGUAUUUGACGUGCUCUCCGGUGGGUGCGAGAAGCAGCACGCUAGCAUCGGCGCCUUGCAGCGAGAAAGCUCCAUCAAAAUAAAUAAUCCAUUCUUGACUCAUUUGUUUGCCGAGGAGAAUCGUUUCAUGAAUCUCUCCGUCUGGCAUCGGGCUCCGUUCUGAAAUGAACUCUGCCAAGGCUCUGGUCUGAAUGGUUGAAGUGCUUUCAAACUUGAGACCAAAGCUUGACAGUUCCAACGCCCACUCGACAACCCUGCCGGUCGCAUUUGGAUUUCAUAAAACCUGUUGCAGCGGAAAGCGAGUGACGACAAUGAUCUCAUCUAGCCGGAAGUAAUGGCGCAACUUCCUCGAGACCAUAAGGAGGCCAAAGAGCAACUUCUGCACGCCAGAGUAUCUUGACCUAGCCCCCUGCAAAAGGGAGCUCACAAAAUAGAUUGGGCGCUGCACCAUCUUCUUCUUCGGUAUUGCAUCAUCUGGUUGUGCUGAUUCCCCCUUGCCAGCUGCAGACUCUGCUAGAGGAAAUGCGGGCUUGCCGCUUGACGGUCCUACGCUCCAGCAUGCUACCUCUACCACUUCUUAUUCACCAUGUUGUCUCUGCACCACUAAUGCUGCACUAAUCACUUGAUUUGUUGCUGCCAAGUAUAGCAACAACGGCUCUUGUGGUUUAGGUGCGACUAGUGUUGGCGGAGAGGAGAGGUACCUCUUCAAAUCAUCCAGCGCUGCCUUCACCUAUGGACUCCACUUCAUUGGACCUGCCUUUUUCAACAUUUUGAAAAAGGGCAGGGCGCGCUCAGUAGAUUUGGAGAUGAACCUACUCAGAGAAGCAAUGCAGCCGGUAAGGCGACGCACAUCUUUGAUGCGUUUUGGUGCUUCAAUCUACUCAAUUGCCUUGAUCUUGUCGGGGUUCACCUCAAUCCCACGCUGAGACACAAAGAACCUAAGAAGCUUGCCGGACGGGACAACAAACAUCCACUUCUCAGGAUCGAGCUUCAAGUUGAUCUUGCACAGAUUUGCAAAUGUCUCUUCUAGAUCUUGUAUGAGCAUUGCUAUGUCCUUGGUUUUGACCACUAUGUCAUCGAUAUAAACUUCCAUAUUUCUAUGUAGCUGGGGCUCAAAACCAAUCUGGAUCGCUCUUGCAAAUAUUGAACCGACAUUUUUCUAUCUAAAAGGCAUACAUAUGAAGCAGGACGUGCCACAUAGAGUGACAAACGUGGUCUUCUCUUCGUCUUCCUUGGUCAUGAAGAUCUGAUGAUACCCGGAAUAGGCAUCAAGGAAUGACAUGAGAUCACAGCCGGUAGUGGAGUCCACAAUCUGGUCGAUGCGCGGCAAGGGAGAUGGUUCCUUAGGAUAGGCUUUAUUGACAUAUGUAAAGUCAACAUAGAGCCUCCAUUUUCCAUCUGCCUUGCGCACUACAACUAGAUUGGCCAACCAUGUUGGAUGGAUCACUCCUCUAACCAAACCUGAUGCCUCCGACUUCUUGAUUUCCUCGACAAUAAAUUCUUUCCGCUCCAAGGCUUGCUUCCUGACCUUUUGCUUGAUGGGCCGCGCAUGAGGGCACACAUCAAGAUGGUGCUCAAUCACCUUCCUGGGAUCACUAGGGAUAUCAGAUGGUCGCCAUGCAAACACAUCGACAUUCGCCUGCAGGAAGGUAUUGAGCGCGCUUACCUAUUUGCCAUCGAGGGUGGAACUUAUGAUUAAAGUUCCUCCCGUACCAUCCUCCUUGGUGAGCACCUUCUUGGUCUCUGGUAGAGUUGUCUUCAAUGUCCUUCUCUUGCCGGUGGAGCACUCUGGCACAUCAUCAAUAGCAGUGCAGCACUCCAGGAGGUGCGCUUGCCGGAGUGCGUGCAANCAUCUUCAACGUAUUGUAUGCAUAAUGCGAUGCCGGCAUGAACUUGGCCAGUGCUGGAGGGCCAAGGAUCCCAUUAUAUGGCAAUGGAAUCUUGGCGACGUCGAAGACAAUCUUCUCUGUCCUGUAGUUCAUAUUGCUACCAAAUGUUACUCGUAGCACAAUCUUUCUCUUCGGCUUGGUCCUCCCUGGAUUGAUUCCCAGAAACGUUCUCAUUUCCUCAAGAUCCUCAUUAGGAAUUUACAGCCUCUUGAACACAUCGGGUGAGCUCAAGUUCAAACCGGCCCCACCAUCAACUAACAUUGUUUCACCUUGAGGUUGCGAAUCCUUGGUGAAACCAACAACGGCAGACACCCGACCGCAGUUGUGCAAUCAGGGUGAUCCUCAGCGUAAAAAAUGAUAGGUAUGUGGGACAACUUCGAUGGUUUGCGGGCACCGACAGAUGGCUCUGCCGCAUUAACUUCACAGGCCCAUUGUUUAAGAUGUUGGUGGGAUGAAUGCAACGAGGCACCCCCGUCAAUGCACAUCAUGUCUGUAGCCUUCUGGUAUUCGUGGUCGCUGCACUCGUCGUCCUCCUGGCUACCAUCAUCCUCAUCUCCCUAUUCCUUGUCGCGGCCUCGAGCGGGCCUCUCCUUCUGUUGCUUCUCUUUGCCGGGACGACCACCUCGGCCAGUGGGUUUCUUGCCGUACCCCUCAGCACCAUCCUAGGCCUUCUCCUUAUCUCACUUUUCAUACUCAGCCUUCUGCUUCUCGGCAAGAUGCUCAACUUGUGGGCACUUUUGGAGAUCGUGGCCCUUGGUGCAAUGGAUCUUUCAAUACUGUUUGCCGGAGCCCUCCGGCUUGUCGGCAGCCACCAAGGCUUGACAGGGGACAUAGCCGACAAUGUCCUUGCCGGGGGCAUCAACCUUGUCCUUCUUAGUGGUGUCGACAUUGCCGGAUCCCUCGACAGUAAACAAGGCCUUGCCCUUGCGCUUCUUGUUACACCGUCGGCUUUUCUUUGCCGGGGCGUCGGUGUCUUCGUCUUCAGAAUCGACUCCUAUGCUGGCAUCUUCGUCGGGGAGCCUCCUUCCUUCUUCAGCCAGAGCAUAAAGCUCGGCAACAUCCCUGACCUUAUUCAUCGCCAGCUCUUCGCACAUCUUCUGAUUGCGCAUGUUCUGAAGGAAUACGCUGAUAACAACGACAUGAUGAAUGUCUGGGAUGUUGUACUGUAUGCGGCUGAAUCUCUGUAUGAACUUGCGCAAGGUCUCGCCCUCCAUCUGGGGGAUGAGGUGCAAGUCACUUUCUUGGCGAGGAGCUCGGUGGCCACCGGUAAAGGCGCCAACAAAGUCAUGGCACAAAUCUGCCCAAGAAGAAAUGGAGUUCUUCGGUAGAUGCAUCAACCACGACCUUACGUUGGGCUUAAGCACCAACGGGAAGUAGUUGGUGAGUAUCUUGUCGUCGCGAGCCCCGGCAGCCCACACCGCAAUGGUGUAGAUGCGUAGGAACUUUGACGUGUGUGUCUUGACAUCAUAUUUCUCCAAGACCUCUGGUUUGAACGUCCAGGAACUGGGCCUGGACUCGCCAUACCUCACGAGUAAACGCUGGGCAACCCAGCUCGUAAGGUAGGUCGCUAGGAUACCCUGGCGCAGGCUCGUCGACAGUGGGCCUUGAGCGCUUAUCAGAUUGAUGGUGCGCUUCCCGCCGCCACUCAAUGGUUGUCCGGACGUCUUUUUUGUGUCGUUCUUGGAGAACUUAACGCUGAUCAUGGUGGGUCCACGGGUUAGACGACCCCGUCAAAUUGUCAAAGACGGCGAUCCACUGGGUCGGCGACCGCUGCCUCCGCCGUGGAGGAGAGUGCACCAUGGUCGUGGUGGCUCUAGCCUUCUCGCCAUUAUCGCGUGCUGGCUUAGUGGACUGCUGUUUCGAAGGGUCCGCUUGCCGUGGCACACCGCCAUUACCGAGGCCGAUGAGACUCUGAAUGGUAGCUCUCCAUUAUUCGAGCUUCUCCGCCACGUGAGGAAAGUCCAGGAGCAUCUGUGCUCGUGCCAACACUUCUGCCGGUGUAGGCUGCGGGGAGAGGUGCAUGCAACGUGAGGUGCUCUUACUCCUCACUGUGUUCGAAGGAUCUCCAUCAUGGUCCCGUGAUCGCACACCGCUUCCACCAGCUUCUUGACGUGCAUGUUGGCCCUCCACAUCUUGAGGGUGAUGCUCACAGGUCUUCCCUGGGGAUGCUUGGAACCGUCGGCGUCGUGGGCGUCCUGGGGAGGCCGUGGUGUAUGUGACGGCAUGGGUGCCUUAGAAGGCACCUUUCUGUCUUCGGAGUUUGCCACGCCUCCCAUAGGCCGCACAGCUAUGUCCUUAGACCCAGCGGCGCACGGGCAAUUGCUGUGGCUGCGAACAAUGCCGCUCGCUUGGGUUUGAUCACCAGAAUGUCGUGGAGGUUCGUGACCUCCGCCUCCUCUGCCCACGCCCAUACUGUCGCCUGUUUGUGCAGUCACAGGCACACUGGGUGCGGGUGCAUCAGCCGCCAUUGCACCCCUCUUCUUGGGAGCCAUGGCGAUGAAGAUGAUGAAGAAUCUGACGCGUUGAUUGCUAGGUCGGGUUAGCACAACCUCUCCCCCCUACACGGCGCGCCAAAGAUGUCGUGGAAAUGAACACCUAUGGGACCGCAAGGAUCCAUUUACGGUUCGGGGGGAGAGAGGAUUGCAGCAGGAGAAGAACCAACGAUCAACAUGAGGAUAUGUUUACCUAGGUUUGAGCCGCUGAGAAGCAUAAUAUCCUACUCAUAUUUUAGAUGUAUUAUGUGUUCUAGGGCUCUGGCUACAGGAGCGCUAUGCGGUGCACAUCAGCUACGUACUUACAGUCUAAAAACCCUAGAGCUGAGAGUCUAAAAACUGGAUCUAAUGCCCCUACCGCUAUGCCUUGGGCCUCCUUUUAUAGGUUAAAGGGUCCACCAACAGUGGAGAAAAGUGCACAUACGGGGUGCACAGUCUAUAGUGUUUGCUGGUGUCUUAAGACAAAGUAGUAAACAGGGCACACAUUGAGUGCAUAGUUUACUGGCGUCUUAAGACAAAUGCAUUAAAUGCUUUGUCAGGUGUCCCUGACCCUCUAUGACACGGGACAGGGACGCGUCCCAUCGGCACUGCUCAACCCCCACCAAUGCUGGACAUGUAUCAAGGAGGAUCGACAGCUGGCUGUUGUGCUGGAGCGGUGGCAGGUUGGCGGGAUCUUGUCGUUGCACGUCUUGCCGGGGCUUCGGCAGCUACCCCGGCAAGGAUCUUGCCGGGAUUCCAGCCUUCGGUCUUCUGUCUCCUCUGUAUUUUCCUUCGGUCUUCUGUCUUUUUUGUAUUUGCCUUCAGUAGUCCCCCGGUAGGCCUUGUCGCGGGUUUGGCUACAACUGCCUGUGCACAAGUAAGGGGUACUAAAGGCCCAAAUUUUAGUACACCGACACACUGCAUCCUUGUUGUCUGCUCCUUGGCUUGCUGGGGAUAACCUAGGUUUCCCGUUUGCUAGUUUAGGGUUGUUCCCUCGUCUUCCUCAUCUUCCCACUCUGCCAUUAGUGUAGUGCUAACCACUUGGUUUGUCGCUGCCAGAUAUAGCAACAAUGGCUCCUCUCGUUUUGGCGCGACUAAGAUUGGCGAAGAGGAUAUGUAUUCCUUGAAAUUCCGCAAUGUAGCCUCCACUUUCGGGGUCCACUUCAUGGGACCUGUAUUCUUCAAGAUCUGGAAGAACGACAAGGCAUGCUCCACGUAUUUGAAAAUAAACCUGCUUAGGGCAGCGAUGCAGCCCGUCAAGCGGCGUACGUCCUUGACGUGCUAUGGAGCUUCCAACUGGUCAAUUGCUUCAUUCUCAACGAGGUUGGCUUCUAUCCCAUGGUGUGGCACAAAGAACCUGAGGAGCUUGCCGGAUGAGACUCCGAACACGCACUUCUCAGGGUUGAGCUUCAAGUUGAUCUUACACAAAUUUGCAAAGGUUUCUUCAAAGUCUUGAACCAGCGUGGCCUCGUCCUUGGUCUUGACCAUGAUGUCAUCCAUAUAGGCUUCCACAUUUCUGUGUAGCUAUGGACCGAGGCCAAUAUGGACAGCCCUCGCAAAAGUUUAUCCAACACUCCUCGGUCCAAAUGGCAUGCACUUAAAACAGUAUGUGCCACAAGGAGUGAUGAACGUUGUUUUCUCUUCAUCUUCCAUGGCCAUGAAAAUCUGGUGACAACCGGAGUAGGCUUCAAGGAAGGACAAUCGGUUGCAGCCGACGGUCGAGUCCACUAUCUUGUUGAUGCGCGGCAAGGCGAAGGUGUCCUCUGGAAAAGGCUUAUUGACAUCAGUGAAAUCGAUGCAAUGUCUCCACUUCCCAUAUGCCUUGCACACCUCAACAGGGUUCGCCAACCAUGUUGGAUGAAGGACACCUCUGAUCAGGCCCGCUGCUUCCAAUUUCUUGAUCUCAUCGGCAAUGAACUCUUGCCAUUCUAGUGCUUGCUUUCGGACCUUCUACUUGACGGGGUGUGCAUGGGGACAAACAACAAGGUGGUACUCAAUCAUCUCCCCCGGAACAUCGGGGAUGUCAGAUGGUUGGUAGGAAAAUACAUUGAUAUUCGCCUGCACGAAGGAGAUGAGCACACUAUCCUAUUUGUCGUUGAGGGUGGCACUCAUGGUGAAAGUGCCACCCUCUCCGUCUUCCCGUGUAGCCACUUGCUUUGUCUUGGGAAUGUACAAUUUGUUUUUCUUGCUCCUGGUGGCAGAAGUCUCGAGUAAGUCCUUGACGGGCGUGUCAGGCUCUGCAGCGUGCUUCCCAGAGUUCCCAUGAGCUUCGCUAGAAGUCUUGCUCUUGUUCUCCUCCUGGGAGAUUUGCCAGCAGGAGUGAGUGCCUUGUCAACAAACGCUGCAACUGCCUUCUGGUCAGCUAGUCGAUACAGAGGACCAUAUCCUUGUUGGCAGCAUGGAUGGUGAUGAUGCUCAUUAGCCCUGGCAUCUUGAGCAUGUUGUAGGAAUGAUGGGAUGCUGCCAUGAACUUCGCUAGUGCUGGUCAGCCCAAGAUCCCAUUGUAUGGUAGGGACAUCUGGGCAACGUCGAAGGUGACCCUUUCUUUCCUAAAGUUGAGCUCGCUGCCAAACGUCACCGGCAGAAUUAUAUUCCCCUUGGGCUGCAGUUUCCCUGGGUUGACCCCCUCGAGGGACCCCAUCGGCUUGAGAUCGAUAAUGGGAAUCUGCAGCCGCUUGAUCAAGUCUGUCAGAAUCAGAGCUCCGCAGACCCAGAAAAGGUUCAAAUUCUAGGGUGCGCUUGCUCUCCUACCCUGUUCUACCUCUCAACUUCAUUGCGACUCUCCAAUUGAUCAAGCUAAUGAAGGCGAACAAGAACACACAAGAAGUUUACCCAGGUCCUGAGCACCUUGCGGUGUAAAACCCUACUACUACUUGUUUGAAUUUCUUGAGGUGGAAGACAAGUACAAAGGCGAGUUCUUUCCCUAGUGGAGACGAUGGAUCCUUGCUACGGAGGCCGGGCUUGUCUUUUAUACUAGCCUUGGGCGGCUUCCCCUUGAAACACCCAACGGGAAAUGUUGGGGAUAUUACCUAUGGGUAACCCGCCCCUAGUGGGCCGGGUCACCAAAGUGGCGACUCGCCAUUAGCUGCGCGUCCCGUGGCCCAGAAGCUGGAUGGCGGUUCGAGAGGUCGUGCGGAUGAUGGAUUACCAAGAAAGCUCCUAAUCGUGGGGGACACGGCGACUUAGAGAUAAGGAAAGCCACAAAGACUAAAAUGGCAGGACUUUGUAAACCCUAGGGCCUGGACCUUUAUAUAAAGGCGAGUCCCAGGGAGAGGUCAGGCGAGUUAGAGAGAAUCGAGAGCUAGGUCAGGCGAGUUACGCCCUCCUUGUAAUCGAAACCACCAUUAAUC